UUUACACCAUUUUCUGUAAAAUAAUAUUAAAAGCAAUAAAUUAAGCAGAAAUCAUGUAAAUAUUCAUCAAUAAUAUUAAUAUAAAAUGGGCUAAUUUAUGCUCUAUCAAAUACCCCCACACUUAGCCUUUUGCUUGUCCUCAAGCAAAUAAACAUAGUCAAAUAAGCCUUCUCACUCUAGAUCCUUAUUUCCACUUAAGCUCUUACUCUAGACCCCUAUUUUGAAUCAUUGCAGUGAAGAAUAUAUGCAUGAAGAUUACUUACCUCUUUUCCUUGUUUCCCCUUGUUUGUCAUGGCUAGGAUUUGUUUUCCUCAAGAGAGAUCAUACAUGCACAUUAAUUUCUUUAGAUAAAACUUCUUCUAGCUUUUGGAUUGACUUGCCCUUACCUUGAAGUAUUUUAUUCAGGCUUUUGCACUUAGAUGUUCCUUGAAAAAGUCACCAACCUUUUGACGUGAAGGUACAUAUUUGUGAUACCCACCCCCAGUUACUCAGUUGGUCACCCUUUCAAGUGGCUACUAGCUUUGUUCUUAGUCUUUCGACCAUUGGAACAGUUUUUUGAUUUUGUGCUUUUGAGGUCUUUGCCUUUGCUGAAUUUUCUUUCUCUCAAUGAUUUGGGCAAAUCAACACCAAUUGCUAAAACAAGUCACAUUAAGUUCAUUCACACAACUUUCAAUUCAUUCUCUCUAAUGAGUGUCAUCAAUACAUUUUUCACCAUGGCAAACUCAAAGAUUCAAUUCAAAAGGCAAUUCUCAAACAUGAAUACAACUCACUGCAAUUGAUUCAACAUAAGUUUAAAGAGUUAUCACAUCAACGGGGUCAUGGAAAGAAAAGCUCAUCCAACGUAGUCUAUAUGAUGAGUAAAGCAUCUAAAAAAAAUGGAAACAAAAAUAAAUAAUAAUAAAAAAAAUAUGGGGCUAUCUGUGUGUGUUAUUGAAAGCAAAAAUGAAAAAAUUUCAACUAAUGCAAGCAAACUAAAAAUCAAAGCAAAAAUAAACUCAAAAAGUAAAAAUUCAGAAAUAUGCACCCCCACACCUAAAUCAUGCAUUGUCCUCAAUGUAAUAGAAACAUAAAAGAACAAAGGAAACUGAGUACUCCCCUGGGGUGUGGUGUGCAUGGUGCGAUCCACUUGCUCAAUGCUCAAGUAAUUGGAGAAGGGAAAAGAGUCCCAACUGCAUUGAGCAAAAAGUGUAGCACUCCUUUCGAUUUGGUCAUAGCCCAUCCUGUCCGAAUUUUCAGGCCUUUUAUAGAUUUUUCACACAGUUUUGAAUGUUAUUUUCAUCACGAUAGAGUAAUCGAAUUAAAAUUUCCACUCAAAGGCACACAUUGUCCACAAGAAGAAGAGAUAUGAGUAUUCUUUGGUGUUGAACUCAAUUUGAUGCUAGAUUUACACAAUCCACUCCCUAAAGAAUUUGUUGAGUUUCGUUGCACAAUGCGGUGAUGAAAUCGACAAAAGAAAAUUUAACACUACAGCAUAUCAUGAACUCCUUCAGCGUAAUCCAAUGUAAUGGAUGCGAUGGAAUGCAACAUUUUCGGCUCAAAUGAGAAAAGAAACUAGGCCACGGGAAAUAAAACGCGGUUUUUUUAGAAAGGUUUGCGAAAUAAGAGACUCAUCAAAUUAAGGCUGCUCAUUUAAAACUAAUUAUCGGGAACAUAAGAAACUCGUUUAAUAAAAACUUAUUCAUUUGAUGGGUCGAGGUGCUGUGAGAAUUUCAAGAAUCAAUUAUCACAAACCGUGCGUUUACAUAAGCUAAGCUUUAACUUAAUAACCUUUGGUUCGAGCUGCGAGCAAGCCAAGUGAUGUUGCACAAGGGUCGCCCAAAGAAAGGCAUGAGUUGUCAACACAUAAUAGGUCCACGUGGCAAAAUCUGAUAAGUGGGUAACGUGGCCCCACUCUAGGAAAGCAAGACUCGCACACCUCAACACCCAGUUUAUUAGCAAGACUUUCCAUCCCCUGGAUAAGAUGAGUCUCGGCACAAAGUUAUCAUUAUCAGGCACAGUCCCGCGUACACCCAUUAUGCCUAUAAUCGCGGGAUCACCGACCUAUUAGCCGGUGAUAUCCCUGAUCAACCAAAUGAUCACAUCAUCAUUGGAUUAUCAGAAAAUGCUAUAUUUAUCUAUGUCUUCUUACAAUAUUAAAGGAGAACGACCAGAGAGGCAAAGGUACGAUGUUCUUUUAUACUGUUCAAGUUCUAAGCAAUUUCUUUCUCUCGCUUUUCUCUUCAGGCUUAUUGAGUUGAGCGUCGGAGUGGCUACCGUGGGCACCCAUCACCUCACGUUCUCAUUCUUGUAGGUUUAACCAAUCACAGCACAGCUCUAUUUUCCGACUGCAUCACCAAGCUAGCCCAGGUGCUCGUUGGUCAAUAAGCUCAAAGUUUUGGAAAAAUAAAUGCAUAAGCUCUAUCACAUCGACAUAUUGUCGAACCCCAUGAAUAUGUGUGUUGCCUAUUUUUCAUUUCAUUUUAGCUCAUUUUGUGUCAGUGCACGACAUAUUGAGGCGUUGAAAUCCCUUUGGUGAAAAAUACAUUUUCUCAUUAGGUUUUCUUAACGUCUUCAAAUUUUUUUUAUUGCACGCUAACGGCAAUUUUCAAAAGAUUCAAGGACUUAUUAUGAAUUUAGAAGGUAUAUGGCACUAAUUUUAUGAAAAUAGAAUAUUCUAUGAAGCGAAUAAAUCUACCCGUGCUAUGAUUUAGGAUCUACUCAAGCAUCAUCACUUAAAAUCUCUUCAAGAAAGGAAGUCACUGUGAGUAUGUGUCACGAUUAAUCGUUGCUCCGUUUCCUUUUCUUUAAAAGGAAAUGUGACGCGGCUCAUAAGAAGUGCACGCGAUUUCUACUUAUGUGAAUUCUAAUUUUUUUAUACAAUAUUUUGAAAUAUUGCACGGUGCUAGACAAAUGACAAUCUAAUAUUGGCGUUAGAGGGUGCUUGUCAUGAACAAGUAAGAAAUCGCUAUAUCAGUAUCAAAGGUUUAGACGUAAAGAUAAGUUUUGCUGCAAACGAAUGAAAAAUAAGACAAUAUCUACUUAUAGGUUAGACGUUAGUCGGUAUUUCUCUGUUAUGCUUUUUAUUAAAAAGCGACAAAAGAAUUUCCAAUAAUAGAACAAAAGUUACAAGUAAAUAACUUCCCUCCGUUAUAAAAUCCGAUAACUUUAGAUGAUUGCUUAGAUAUAAAAGCUUUUGCAAACAAGGAGAAAUCCAUUCUAAUUUGCCGCGCAUUUUACGAAAGAACUUAGAAAACAAAAGGCUUCAUGAAGAUGACAACCCUGGAGACGUAUUUUUCCCUGGCAUCUUUGCUAUUAUUGUUUGUUUUUGAUGGUAGAGUUCAAUCUGCCGUAUUUGAUGUGAAAAAUUACGGUGGUAAAGCCGAUGGCAAGUUAGAUAUUAGCAAGGUGUGCUGAUGAUUCCUAAUUUUGAAUUUCGCCGUGAUUUUUUUAUACCUCAUUUUAACUGAACUUUCAUCUCCCUUUUUUUUUCUUUUCAGGCAUUAUUGGGUGCUUAGAAAGAGGCUUGUUCAGCAAAGGGUUCCAACAGAAUUGUAGUACCCAAAGGAACAUAUUCCAUAGGUUUAACUGACUUAAAUGGUCCAUGCAAGGGAGCCAUGGAGCUUCAAGUCCAAGGAACCUUGUUGGCACCGAUAAACCCUAGCAAGUAUGCCAAGGACAGUUGGAUUACUUUUGCAUACAUUGAUCGAUUCAAAUUAUCCGGUGGUGAAACCUUCAACGGACAAGGGCAAGUUGCUUGGAAGCAAAAUAACUGCGGUCGAAAUCCAAAAUGCAAGAGACUUCCAGUUGUAAGUUUAAUUGAAUCGUAUAUUGUGCAUGUAUCUAUACUGCUUUGUAAGAUGAUUAAUAACGUUUCCUUUAUGUGCUUCUUGUCCCUUUAAAAACACGCCAGAGCUUGCGGUUUGACUUCAUCACCAACAGCGUAGUUCAGGACGUAACAUCGCUCGAUAGUAAGAAUUUCCAUGUCAAUGUUCUAGGUGGGAAAAACCUUACUUUCGAUCGCUUCACGAUCACUGCACCAGGAGAUAGCGUCAAUAUAGAUGGAAUUCACAUCGGGCAUUCAAACGGGAUAAACAUUAUUAAUUCAAAUAUUACCACCGGCGAUGACUGCAUCUCCAUUGGUGGUGCCAGCGAACAAAUAAGGAUCACAAACUUACGAUGUGGACAUGGACAUGGCAUUAGCAUGGGAAGUUCAGGGAAGACGACUGAUGAAUUUGUCUCUGGAAUUUUCGUAAGGAACUGCACCUUCUAUGACACCGACAAUGGAGUGAGAAUUAAGACAUGGCCGGCUUUACAAGAUGGCAUGGCCUCUGAUAUGCAUUUCGAGGAUAUUAUGAUGAAAAAUGUCCGCAACCCUAUCGUUAUAUAUCAAGUGUACUGCCCAUGGAAUCAGUGCAAUCCAAAGGUAACGCGAAAAGAAAUGAAAAUGAAAGAGUCUCUUAAUGCAUUGUCCAUGGACAAAUCUGCCCACAACAUGAAAUUUCUGUAACCCUUUAUCAUUUCUGAUAUUUGUUUCAGCUUCCGUCAAAAGUUAAGAUCGCCAACGUCACCUUCAAGAAUAUUAGGGGCUCUUCAGCGAUAGCAGUAGCUGUUCGACUUAAUUGCAGCAGCAGUUUUCCAUGCCAGAAGGUCGAGCUCGCUGACAUUAACUUGAUGUACAGAGGAAAGGAAGGCCCUGCAAAAUCCUUGUGUGCAAAUGUUAAACCCACACUUUAGGGAAAAUUGACUCCAACCGUUUGCUAGUAUUGUCAACGCUCAAACCUCGCAGCUCCUAGCCACGAUACAUGAGAAAGAUUAUCGAGGAGAUGAGCAUAUUUCAAUUUGUAAGUUUUAACAAAUAAAACGAGACACUUCCAAGUUCCCUUUUAUGUAGGUUACUGCAUGGGUAGAUGGCCAAGAUACUCGCAUGUUGCUCAUUGUCUUUUUUGUUUUUUUAUUUUCUAUUCGAUCAGCUCGCUCACUCGUCGGGUUUCGCCGCGUCGUUCGGUGAUUUAAUUGACAACAGAAAAUAUAAGAUUACAGUCGAAGGCGGUUUGGCCAAGUUUCGACCCUAGAAAAAUUAUCCUGUUCUAAUUUUCAGGCUUUUUAUAGAUUUUUCAAACAGUUUUGAACGUUAUCCUGUCUGAAUUAUCCUGAACUCAAUUUAAAGCUAGAUUUACACAAUCCACUCCCUAAAGAAUUUGUUGAGUUUCGUCGCACAGUGCAGUGAUGAAAUCGACAAAAGAAAAUUUAACACUACAACAUAUCAUGAACUCCUUCAGCGUAAUCCAAUGUAAUGGAUGCGAUGCAACACAACAUUUUCGGCUCAAAUGAGAAAAGAAAUUGGGCCGCGGGAAACAAAACGUGGUUUUUUUAGAAAGGUUUGCGAAAUAAGAGACUCAUGAAAUUAGGGCUGCUCAUUUAAAACUUAUUAUCGGGAACCUAAGAAACUCGUUUAAUAAAAACUUAUUCAUUUGAUGGGUCGAGGUGCUGUCAGAAUUUCAAUAAUCAAUUAUCACAAACCGUACGUUUACAUAAGCUAAGCUUUAACUUAAUAACCUUUGGUUCGAGCUGCGAGCAAGCCAAGUGAUGCUGCACAAGGGUCGCCCAAAGAAAGGCAUGAGUUGUCAACACAUAAUAGGUCCACGUGGCAAAAUCCAAUGAGUGGGUAAUGCAGCCCCACCCUAGGAAAGGAAGACCCGAACACCUCAACACCCGGUUUAUUAGCAAGACUUGCCCUCCCCUGAAUAAGAUGAGUCUCGGUACAAAGUUAUCAUUAUCAGGCACAGUCCCGCGUAUACCCAUUAUGCCUAUAAUCGCGGGAUCACCGACCUAUUAGCCGGCGAUAUCCCUGAUCAAGCAAACGAUCACAUCAUCAUUGGACUAUCAGAAAAUGCUAUAUUUAUCUAUGUCUUCUUACAGUAUUAAAGAAGAAUGACCAGAGAGGCAAAGGUACGAUGUUCUUUUAUACUGUUCAAGUUCUAAGCAAUUCCUUUCUCUCGCUUUUCUCUUCAGGCUUAUUGAGUUGAGCAUCGGAGUGGCUGCCGUGGGCAUCCAUCACCUCACAUUCUCAUUCUUGCAGGUUUAACCAAUCACAGAACAGCUCUAUUUUUCAACUGCAUCACCAAGCUCACCCGAGUGCUCGUUGGUCAAUAAACUCAAAGUUUUGGAAUAAAAAAAUGCAUAAGCUCUAUCACAUCGAUAUAUUGUCGAACCCCGUGAAUCUGUGUGUCGCCUAUUUUGCUUUUCAUUUUAGCUCAUUUUGUGUCAGUGCACGACAUAUUGAGGCGUUGAAAUCUCUUCGGUGAAAAAUACAUUUUCGCAUUAGGUUUCCUUAACCUCUUAAAUUUUUUUUUAUUGCAUGCUAAGGGCAAUUUUCAAAACAUUCAAGGACCGAUUAUGAAUUUAGAAGGUACAUGGCACUAAUUUUAUGAAAAUAGAAUAUUUUGUGAAGCGAAUAAAUCUACCCGUGCUAUGAUUUAGAAUCUACUCAAGCAUCAUCACUUAAAAUCUCUUCAAGAAAGGAAGUCACUGUGAGUAUGUGUCACGAUUAAUUGUUGCUCCGUUUCCUUUUCUUUAAAAGGAAACAUGACGCAGCUCAUAAAAAGUGCACGCGAUUUCUACUUAUGUGAAUUCUAAUUUUUUUAUAUAAUAUUUUGGAAUAUUGCACGGUGCGAGACAAAUGAAAAUCUAAUAUUGGCGUUAGAGGGUGCUUGUCAUGAACAAGUAAGAAAUCGCUAUAUCAGUGUUAAAGGCUUAGGCGUAAAGAUAAGUUUUGCUGCAAAUGAAUGAAAAACCAGACAAUAUCUACUUAUAGGUUAGACAUUAGUCGGUAUUUCUCUGUUAUGGUUUUUAUUAAAAAGCGACAAAACAAUUUUCAAUAAUAGAACAAAAGUUACAAGUAAAUAACUUCCCUCCGUUAUAAAAUCUGGUAACUGUAGAUUAUUGCUUAGAUAUAAAAGCUUAUGCAAACAAGGAGAAAUCCAUUCUAAUUUGCCACACAUUUUACAAAAGAACAUAGAAAAGAAAAGGCUUCAUAAAGAUGAUGACCCUGGAGACGUAUUUUUCCCUGACAUCUUUGCUAUUAUUGUUUGUUUUUGCUGGUAGAGUUCAAUCUGCCGUAUUUGAUGUGAAAAAUUACGGUGGUAAAGCCGACGGCAUGUCAGAUAUUAGCAAGGUGUGCUGACGAUUCUUAAUUUUGAAUUUCGCCGUGAUUUUCUUAUACCUCAUUUUAACUGAACUUUCAUCUCCCUUUUUUUUUUUGCUUUUCAGGCAUUAUUGGGCUCGUGGAAAGAGGCUUGUUCAGCAAAGGGUUCCAACAGAGUUGUAGUACCCAAAGGGACAUAUUCCAUAGGUUUAACUGACUUAAAUGGUCCAUGCAAGGGAGCCAUGGAGCUUCUAGUCCAAGAAACCUUGUUGGCACCGAUAAACCCUAGCGAGCAUGCCAAAGACAGCUGGAUUACUUUUGCAUACAUUGAUCGAUUCAAAUUAUCAGGUGGUGGAACCUUCAACGGACAAGGGCAAGUUGCUUGGAAGCAAAAUAACUGCGGUCGAAAUCCAAAAUGCAAGAGACUUUCAGUUGUAAGUUUAAUUGAAUCAUAUAUUGUGCAUGUAUCUAUGCUGCUUUGUAAGAUGAUUAAUAACGUUUCCUUUAUGUGCUUCUUGUCCCUUUAAAAAUACGCCAGAGCUUGCGGUUUGACUUCAUCACCAACAGCGUAGUUCAAGAUGUAACAUCGCUCGAUAGUAAGAAUUUCCAUGUCAAUGUUCUAGGUGGCAAAAACCUUACUUUCGAUCGCUUCACAAUCACUGCACCAGGAGAUAGCGUCAAUACAGAUGGAAUUCACAUCGUGCAUUCAAACGGGAUCAACAUUAUUAAUUCAAAUAGUGCCAUAGGCGAUGACUGCAUCUUCAUUAGAGGUACCAGCGAACAAAUAAGGAUCACAAACGUAUGAUGUGGACACGGACAUAGCAUUAGCGUGGGAAGUUUAGGGAAGGCCACUAUGAAUUUGUCUUUGGAAUUUUCGUAAGGAACUACACCUUCUAUGACCCCAACAAUGGAGUGAGAAUUAAGACAUGGCCAGCAUUUAUUGUUCCCUGAAUAAUGGCACUAGCCUCCAUCUUUCUAGCUGCAUCCACUAUGAUGUGGAAACUCUCCCUCUCUGCUGCUAAGAUUAAGAAGGAAUACCUAGAGUGAAGUCUCAUGGUAUACCUCCUUGCUUUCUUCUGAUCAGUGUCAUAUGCCUGCCCCACAAACUGUAGCAACUCUAGAAAUUUAUCUGUGUGCUCAUCUACACUCAUAUCCUCAGUCUGCCUCAGUUGCUCAAACUCUAUCACCUUCAAUUCCCUUGAACUGUCUGGAAAGGCCCAUCCUGCAAAUUCAUUGGCAAACUGCUCCCAAGAUAAGCUAUCCAGUCUCGGGUCCACAUAAUUUUUAAACCACUCCUUAGCCUUCUUACAUUUAAGAGUGAACCCCGCUAUCUGAAUUGCUCUGCUAUCACUAGCCCCCAACUCAUUAGUUAUCAUUUUCUUCGUCUUUAGAUACUCAAACGAAUCAUCACUUAUUUUAAACUUGGAAGCAUCCAACUUCAGAUAGUCUGUCAUUUUCUCCUUGCUCCCAUCUGAUGGGUUGGGUCUGGAUGAUUGGGUUUCAGGAACCACCGGUUCUACUGGGGGGGGGAGGAGGUGGUGCAACAUUCCCUAAGUUAGGGUUUGUUGGAUUUUGAUAAAAAGGCGGGGGUGAAAACAUCAGGUAGGGUGGAUAUGGAGGGUAGUAGGGAGGACAAGACAUGAAUGAGGGAUAUGGAUUGUAAUUAGAGAAAUCCGAUGUGCCUCCCAUCGGAUACUCUGGUCCCUGUGGGUAGGGUUGGUACUGUGGUGGGUAAGCAAAACCCGAGGCCUGAGCGCCUCCUUGUGAUUCUCCCAUACACUCUUCUGACAUACUCACACCCAAACUUCCAUCUCUCCUCUGAUCAUCUUCCACUAAUUCCCUCACAUCCGCUGACAUUCUACCCGGAUCUGUCCUCCUCCUGUUUACAUCAAAAGACCUUUUAGGGUCCCUCGAUGUUUCUCCUCUGCUGGUUCUACUUGACUGUGCUCUUGGCAAAGCAUGGGGUAGGGCAUCCAUGCCCUCAUUCUCAGGUGGAACUCCAAUCAAUCGUGCAGAUCGACGAGUGCCUCGCAUUCUGUUUUCUAAAAAACGACAUACAACACAUAAACAUUAGUAUCAUAUGGUUCAUGUGGACACACAUGAACCCACAUCAUAUACAUAACAUAUCAUUAAUGCACAUGCAUAAUAUCAUGGCAUUUCACAUCAUCCUCAAGAAAGGACACUACAUCCUAUCCUAAUGGACAUGAUUUUUCCUAUUGUGCUUGCCCUUCUAUAACAUCUAUGAGCCUAACACUCUAGGUCCGACCAUAUGAACCUAGGGCUCUGAUACCACUCUAUAACGACCCGAAAACCGAACCGCCAUCGGCGCUAGGAUUCAGAUCGACUUAAGGUCGCCGGAACCCGUAGCAAGCCUACUAUACAUCCUGUGUACCUAAUAAAAUCCCAUACAUGAUCAUACAUUUGCAUAAAAAUUUAAACUUUUCAUAUACCAAGCUCGACAUGUGCAUGCAUUAUAAACUGUACACAUAAAACCCACACUAGAGCCCUCAUCAAAUGCUCUAGUAUGGUAAACAUCACAUGCCUUAAUCUUGGUUCAACAUAACUUAUCAUUAAAACUUUCACAUAAAGAUCAUGAUAAACAGGGAUUACAAAACAUAUACUAGGGCCAAGCACAUUUCUAAUCCAUAAAAGAAAUUACAUGUCCACUCUAUACUAUUACAUAAGCUAUACCAACUACUAGCCGACUUCCCGAGCUAUCUCUGAUCCUGCAAACCUAGAGUGAGGGGAAAGGGAUAAGCUACUAGAGCCUAGUGAGCAUAACAUAAAAACAGUUUAAUAAACAUGUGCUCUUAUGAAAGGCAUCACAACACAAACAAUACACAUCAAGGAUGGACUUGUCACCAUUAACCCCCUACAUAUUCCAAAUAAAUGCCCGGCCCUCGACGGAGCUCCUCAGGACUUCCUCUUAAACAUAACAUAAUAUAUCCAUAAAUGGCAGGGGCGUAGAAUGGGGAGCCUUAGUCUUUCUCUUACAUAGUACCAGGGCGUAUAGAAUGGGCAGCCCCGAUCUUUCGCAUCCGUCAAACAUAACCCGCUCGAGGGCUAGUGGGUCAUCCAAUAUCCAUCCACAGCAAUAGCAAGUAUGCAAUGCAUCAUAUUCGUGAAUUCUAAUGCAAACAACCUAUUAUAUAACAUGGCAAUCGUGAUGCAUGAACAUGCUUAAAAAGUUCAAUUACUUUAAAAAGAUAGUUCAGUUCUACUCACCUCUGGCUGAUGCUUGACUAAAAUUGUAGCAGCUGACUUACUGUUGGCCUCUACGGUCUUCUAGGUCCGAUCCUACACAGAUGGACUCCUAUGAGGGACCAAACAUAACUAAUAUAUGACUAUAAACAACUAUCCAAAAACCUCCUAAAACAUCACAAAACAUGCAUAUAAAAAAAGCAAAGGAAGGCUAGGUAGAGGACUUUCGACGGCACCUUCGGCGGCCGAAGGUCCUCUACAGAUCCGAAAGUCGGGGUCCUUCAGGGGCAGGUUCUGUUAGUGUAUUUGGCCUAGGCCAUUAUCUUGGACCUUUUUGUAUGUUGUUUUGGUUAUUAAUAUUAGAGGUUUUUAUCAUCAUUAUUAUUUGUUUGCAUGUUACAUAAUAAUAAUUAUCAUCCCUGGUUACUUAUUAUUAUGUUGAUAAUAAUAAAAUAUAGCUAGUAUGAUUAUUGAUUGAUAAUCAUGAGAUGAUUAUGUAUAUGUUGAUAUAAUUCAAUAAUCAUAGAUACUUGUUAGACAACAAAGUAUUGGAUGGACCCGCAUUGAGAUCACUACAUGGGUUAUUGUCAUAAGUGAAUCUCAAAGUAGUUAUGUCUUAAUCCUUUGACUUGAGAUUGUCAUAGUUUCCAACAUAAGGACUAUUAUGUUUUGACAUAACCAAACAUUGUCUUUAAUCGGAUAGUCAUAAAGGUUAUGAUUGAGCAUAAUACAAAUUAUGUAGAGGAUAAUGAACAAUCAAGAUAGGAUUUGUCCCUCUCUUUGAGAGAGAUAUCUUCUGGGCCCCUCGAUAAGUGAGACUGAGAAAUGCAUGUGAUAGAGCAUAGUUUAGUCCACUUUAUCAUGAUGUUAUGGACGUUUAUUUAAAUCUUUUCUACCUAAUUUUGUGGUUUUAAUCAUGUUUUGCAGAUAUUAGGUGUAAAGAGACAAUCUGGAGAAAAUGCUCUUAAAACUGCCAAAAAGUGUCAAAUAUGGAAAGUGCCAAAAAAAAAAGAAAGUUUUCAAAUAAGGAACGUGCAGAAGCAAAAGCAAAUAAGGAAAGCUCAGUCAGAAGAUUAUUUGAAAUUCAAAAUGCAGAUCUUUCUUUCCUUGUUCAAUGAUGUGCACACACUACAGCAGUCAUAUCUUCCUAUUUAGGCAACAAGAUUUCAAGAAGACGCACUUGCCUCUUCUACAUUCAGCAUUCAAAAUUCAAACGAAAGCUCCACCUAAAAAGGAAAGACUGGACAGAUAUAUUUCCUCUUCUACACAUUCAUUGCCGCGCGCCACUUUCCCUGCUACAGUGCAUGCUGCGCGACUCCUUCCCUCUGAAGAGCUUGCAACACGAUUCUUUCCUUUUUAGACACAACUUGGGCAGCAAGCAGCCUCUUGGGCAACAAGUAAGGACCUAGGGCAACACUUUCAACUAUAGAAAGACACAUAAGGAGCCUCCCCAUGCUUUUUCUACUCUCCCUUGGACACACCUACGGGAUUGCAAGUGACACUAUCUCUUCUUCUUCCUUUCUUUAUUUUUGGUUUUUGUUUCAGCCAUGAGUGGCUGAAACCUUUUAUUCUAGUUGGAGAUUGGUUGAAACUUAAGUUGUUAUAUGGAUUGUGGGAUCUAAACAUACAUUGUUUUUUUUUUGGUUUGUUCAAUAUUCAUGCAAUUUCAUGCUUGAUUCCAUUAUUGCUUUGUUGUUUUGAUCAAAUUGGCCAUUUGAUUCUUGAUUGCAAGGUAAUAUCUUGUUAGUUUGGAUAAUUUUAAGUCCGUAAUUGCUGAGAUUGUUCAAACAUAAGAACACUUGGUGUAAAAACUAAGGAAAUUGUAUGAUCUAGCAACAUCUCAUGCGCUUGAGUAGCUAGGAUUGGCUCUCUCUAUCUCUUAAAGCAAUUGACAGUUGUUUUGAUGCCCAAGGCCCAAGGACGUUCCUUGGCAACUUCUUGAUUAGUAAUUGAUUAGAGGACGUUCCCUAAUUGGUUUAUGAUUAAGGGGAGACAUGGUGGUGAGAAGCGUUUUCCAUCUCCAUAACUAAUCUAUUCAAUCAAUCAAAAAAACAUAAGUUUCAAUGAUCAAUCCUAACAACUGAAGUGAAUCCGAUUCUUCAACUAGAGCUUUUUCAUUACUGAAUUCCCUUUAUUUUUAUUAUUCGCUUUACUUUUACUGCUUUCAGUUUUAGAUCUCUUAAAUCAAUCUCAAACCCCCCUUUUACUUUCAGUUUAUUUGCUUUCAGUUUAUCUCGUUUCAGUUUACUUCUCUUUCAGUUUAUUUUUGUUUCAGUUAAUUCUAUUGGUCUUGAUAAGGAAAAUAGGUAAGUUCUCAAUCUCCUGUGGAUUCGAUCCUUUCACCACUAUCUACAGUUGUAAAAUUAUUGAUAACUAGAAAGAUUAUUUUUUACCGGCUUCGACAACCGUGAGUCAAAAAUUGGCGCCGUUGCUGGGGAAUUCAUCUAACUUAUUUACUUUUCUUUCAAGACCAAAUCAGGAACAAAGCACCACCAAAUCUGCCUCUAAAGAAGCCACCAUCGCAGACCCCACCUCUGAAACAUCUCCAUCGCACAUCUCACCUUCCCUUCACCAUUCGGAUUACCCAUCCUCUCACCAAAGCAAGUCACCAUCGCAGAAUUGAUUCAUGGAUGAGGUAAAUACAUCUGUUCUCUAUUCUCAACUUUUUGAACUCAUAUCUGUUGUGAAAAGUAUUAUCAUAGGUUGAGCUCAACAAUUUCAGCCACUAAGGCCAUGUAGGAUUUGUGCAUAUGUGGGACACCCAACUGAUCAAUGUCCUACACUUUAUGAGUAUAGGCUAGGUAGAGGACUUUCGACGGCACCUUCGGCGGCCAAAGGUCCUCUACAGAUCCGAAAGUCGGGGUCCUUCGGGGGCAGGUUCUGUUAGUGUAUAUGCCCUAGGCCAUUAUCUUGGACCUUUUUGUAUGUCGUUUUGGUUAUUAAUAAAAGAGGUUUUUAUCAUUAUUGUUUGUUUGCAUGUUACAUAAUAAUGAUUAUCAUUCCUGGUUACUUAUUGUUAUGUUAAUAAUAAUAAAAUAUAGCUAGUAUGAUUAUUGAUUGAUAAUCAUGAGAUGAUUAUGUAUAUGUUGAUAUAAUUCAAUAAUCAUAGAUACUUGUUAGAGAACAAAGUAUUGGAUAGACCCGCAUUGAGAUCACUAUAUGGGUCAUUGUCAUAAGUGAAUAUCAAAGUAGUUAUGUCUUAAUCCUUUGACUUGAGAUUGUCAUAGUUUCCAACAUAAGGACUGUUAUGUUUUGACAUAACCAAACAUUGUCUUUAAUUGGACAAUCAUAAAGGUUAUGAUUGAGCAUAAUAGAAAUUAUGUAGAGGAUAAUGAACAAUCAAGAUAGGAUUUGUCCCUCUCUCCGAGAGAGAUAUCUUCUGGGCCCCUCGAUAAGUGAGACUGAGAAAUGCAUGGCCGUGUUCAAAUGAAUUGAUAGUGUGAUCAAUAUCAUUUGAAUUUAUCAGUCUACUUAUAGAUCGAGAAAUCAUAAGUUUAAACAUUAUAAUUUUGACAUUGACCAUGAUUUAUGUUCAAACUAGAUAUCGUGUGAUAAAGGGAUUAAUUCAUAUUCUAAUUAUUAGGCUUUGUCGGACUAUUGAUCCUCAUAUUAGUUGAGUAGUCAUAAUGUCUUGCUAGAGGCCACUUAUGACUUAUGGGCCUUGUGGGACUGGGCCUAUUUCCAAUUAAUGUGAGUGUAACGAUCCGGAGACCGGACCGCUACCGGCGCUAGGAUCCAGAUCGGCUUAAGGCCGCCAGGACCCGUAGCAAGCCUACUAUGCAUUCUGUAAACCUGGUAAAUCCCAUACAUGAUCAACAAUUUCCAUAAAAAUUUGAAACUUUACAUCUACCAAGCUUAACCUGUGCAUGCACACUAUCUUUGUAACAUAAAACCCCAGACUAUAGCCCACAUUAAAUACUCUAGUUGGGUCAUCAUUUCAUAUAUUAAGCUUGGUUCUCAUCAUAUAUCAUUAUGAAACAUAAUAAUAUACAGAUCAUGUACAAAAAGGAUCUACCAACUUUAGGGCCAAGCUUAAUUCUAUCAUCAAUAUACAUUACAUGACUUUACAUCAUUUUACAAUACAUGUCCACUACUGCUAUUACAAAAACUUUCUUCUGAAGCUAUCCCAUGCUAUCUCUGGCCCUGCAAACCUGGGGGUUAAUGAGAGGGGUGAGCUACUAGAGCCCAGUGAGUAGAGCACUAAUAAAAUCAUUUAAUAAAACAUGCUUCCAUGAAAUGCCUCACAUCAUAAAUAAAUCAUAUCAAGGAUGAACUUGUCACCAAUAGUCCUCAACACAUUCCAAUAGUGUCAGGGCGUAGAAUGGGCCACUAGUCUUUUUCCUUAUCAUAUAACAUAACAUUCUCAUGUGCCAGGGGCGUAGAAUGGGCCUCGACCUGGACUUCCAUAGCAUAUCAUAUCGUAUCCAUACGAGGACUAAUGGAUCAUUCAACAUCCAUCCACAACAACAUCAUAUAAUGCAAUGCAUCAUCUUCGUGAAUACUAAUGCAAACAGCCUAACAUAUACAUGGCAAUUAUGGCGCAUGAGUCAUGUAGACUAAAUACAAACACCCUAACUUAUAGAUGGCAUUUAUGGUGCAUGAGUCAUGCUAAAACCUUUCAUUUUAUUGAAAACAUUGUUUAGUUCUACUCACCUCUAGUAAACUCGGGAAUACCUCUGAACCAGCUAACUCUGAGGGCCUCCUUGGUUCCUCGGGUCGGAUCCUACAAUGGAGGACUCAAAUGAGGUACCAACAAACUCUAACAUAACUCACAAACAAACUUUCAAACACAUGCAUAUACCCUUUUUCUUGCAUAUAGGGGCUUAGAACUAGCUCAAUCCCCCAAAACAACACAUAUACACACAUAUGGCUUAUGCUCAACAUAAACCCUAUCCAUGCAAACCAUGCAAAACCCUCACUUAACCCUUCAAAACUCACUUAAAACAUCAAGAAAGGUGAGGAUCCAUGCUUACCUCUUGAAGAUCGAGAGGAUUGAUGGUCAAAACUCGGAGAUGCAAGGAAAAACAGAUUUGAAACCUCCAAGCCUCACAACUUUGCUUCUUUGCUCAAAAACUUCAAAACUAACAUGAAAACCAUUAAAAACCUGUCAACUUUGAAGAAAACCAAGAAAUCAACCAAGGAAGAUCAAUAACUCACCUAUACCCGAAAAGAGAGAGAAAACUCACCUCAAAUCCGGAUAAGGGCCCUUUUAUAGGUGGCCAGUCAACCACCUUCGACGGCCAGAGUUGUUUCCACAAUUGCACCACUUUUGGAAGUUGAACUUGGGCUUCGGUGGCAACAAAAGCUAGCCACCUUCGGCGGCCAAACAUGAGGUUCGGCGGCCGAACCUUCCAUUUCCCUCCUUGGUCUUUUCUCUUCAACACUUCAAAUUUUCUUCAUCAAAACUCUAAAAUCAGUCAAAAACAUUGUAGAAAACCUUCUUUUACCCUUCUAAGAAACUCUGACAUCCUUGAAUUCCAGAUUCCAAUGGAGAUUCCGCCGGAAAGUGAGAAUUCUGAUGCUGGGGUCUAGCCGGGUGUUACAUUCUCCCCCCCUUAAGAACAUUCGUCCCCGAAUGUUCCCCAACUAACACAUGCAAAGGAAGAAUAUAAACACAUAAACAUAUAAAGCACAUAAGGAACACACAAAAAAAAAACUAACCUUAAAAGAGAUGAGGGUAUUGCUGGAGCAUAGACUCUUGCGUCUCCCAAGUACAUUCUUCAAUAUUGUGGUGGUUCCAAAGGACUUUCACCAUCGGAAUUUCCUUGUUUCUCAACUUUCUGAUCUGCGUGUCUAGAAUCCGCACUAGCUGCUCAACAUAGGUGAGAUCUCCAAGGAUCUCUACAUCAGGCUCACUAAGAACCUUGCCCGGAUCUGAUACAAACUUUUGGGUCACACACAAAAGAAUGUUGUUGAUGUGCUAUGUCAUAUUAAUGGGCUAAAAACCCAAAGCCCAUUAAUAUAAUUAAUAAUAAUAAAGUGUUAUUAUUAUUAAUCAUUUAUUAUUAUGAGAUAAUAAUAUUUAAAAGAUCUGCAGUCUAUCUGUAACUGUUACUGAUAAAGGACUCUAUCACAUAAAGAUAUUUGAGUAUCUACAAGAUUGUGAUAGUGGGUUAUGAACACAACUCCUUUUAGGAAAAGGAGUGGGAAAAACAAAAGACUGAAACAUAUAAAUACCCCUUCUACAAAUUGUGGAAGAGAGAUUUUUUUGAGAAAACUCAGUCUAAAUAGCUGCAGAUUGUGGAGCAUAUAAUCUAUCUAUCUUUGAGAGAGCUAGCACUCUAGAAGGAUAGAAGACCUUCGUGUGGAUAUCAUAGAGGGUGUUCGUUUGAAAAAGCAGCACCAUCAGUGUAAUACCCGGCUAGAUCCCGGCAUCGGAAUCCCGACUUCACGGCGGAAUCUCCGUUGAAAUCUAGAAUUUCUUGAGAUGCCAGAGUCUUCUAGGGGGUUAGAAAUGUAUUUUCUAAAAUGUUUUCACAUGAUUUUAUGGUUUUGAAUGGAAAAGAAAUUGAGUUUUGAAAAGAAUAGGCUAAGGAGGCAUUUGCCAGGUUCGGCCGCUGAACGUCAAGUUCGGCCGCCGAACAUGGGGCUGUUUCGAGAGUACUUUAGGCUUCCGAAAGUGUGAGGGCAGAAACCAGGUUCGGCCGCCGAACAUGCAUGAGUUUAGGAGGCACGUUAGGCUGCCGAAGGUAGUCGACCAGGCCACCUACAAAAGGCCCUCAGACCGAAAAUGGGCGAGUUUUCUCCCCAUUCUCGAGCUCAGGUGUGUUCAUGUCCUCCUCUAGUCAUUUUCAUGCUUUUUUCUUCAAAUCCUUCACGUUUUAUAAGCUACAUGGUUGUUUUGAAGAGUUUUAAAGCUUGGAUCAAGGUUUGGAGAGCUUGGAGACUUCAAGGGAUUGGGUUCUCCAUAUCUCAAACUUUGGGUCGCACCAACCCUUGAUCUUCAAGAGGUAAGUGUAGAUCUAUACUUUCCUUUAUGUUUUAAAGAAGUUUUAAGCAAGUUUGAAGAUGUUUUGAUGGUUGAGUAUGGGUAGAUAUGCAUGUUAGGGUUUAUGUGGAUUUUAUGCCCAAUGUAUGUUUAUGUGAUGUGUUUGAGCUAGUUUAUGCAUGUGGGAGAGUGUAUGCAUGAUUGGGAAAGAGUAAGUGAGAUUAUGGGUUGUUUUGAUGGUUUUGGCCUAUGUGGGUCAUAAACUAUCUAUGUAUGCUUUGGAUGUUGUUUUUGGAGUUUAAUCUAGUUGUUAAGCUCCUUUAUGCAUGACUAGGGUUUAUGCUUGGUUUUGAGAAGUUUAGGCAUGUUUUAAGAGGUUGGAGGCUUGUUUUGAGAGGUUGGGAGGCUUGUAUGCGCAAGGGCUGAGUUAUGGAAGAACUCAGGUUCGGCAGCCAAAGGUGGUUUCGGCCGCCGAACCUGCCUAAGGUUGCAUGAUUGGCCGCCAAACCUUGCCCCUGAAAGUUGUGUUUCGGAGCUGGAGCAGACUUUCGGCCGCCGAAAGUGCCUGACUUUCGUCUCUGGAGAGAAGGUUCGGCUGCCGAAGGUGCCCCCGAACCUGCAUGACUUUCGUCUCUGGAAGGGACCUUCGGCCGCCGAAAGUGCCGCCGAAAGUGCCCUGUCCAGCCCUUUCAUGAGUGUUUUCUAUGAUUGUUUUGAGGAUGUUUUAGGGGGUUUUUGGGGAGUUGUUUAUGUAUUGUUUAGGGUAUGUUUGGCACCUCACUGGAGUCCACCUAUGUAGGAUCGGACCCGAGGAACCAAGGUGCUUAGCAGUGUUAGCUGCUUCAGAGUCGGUUCAGAGCUAGUCAAGGUGAGUAGAACAUAACUCUUUUUAUAUUAAAGAAAUUGAAUGAUCAAAGCAUGUUCAUGCAUCAUGAAUGCCAUGUUAUGUAAUAGGUUGUUGCAUUAGAGAUUACGAAUAUGUUGCAUUGCAUAUUACGAUGUAUGAUGAUGUGGAUGAAUAUUGGAUAAUCCAUUAGCCCUCAGUAUGAUGUGAUAUGACAUAAUAUGACACGAUAUGACAUGUAUGGCAUGAUAUGAGAUGAAAGACCAGGCGAGGCCGUAUCGCCCCUAGCAUAGAGUAAGGAAGACCAGGUGUGGCCGUAUCGCCCCUGGCAUAGAGUAAGGAAGACCAGGUGUGGCCGUAUCGCCCCUGGCAUAGAGUUAUGUGAAGUCCAGGCGUGGCCGUAUCGCCCCUGGCAUAGAGCAUUGUUGGACUUAUUAUGAGAUGAGAUCUAGAUGUAGAGGGCUAAUGGUGAUGAAUUCAUCCUUGAUGUGUAUUGUUUGUGAUGUGAUGCAUAUCAUGAAAGCAUAUGAUAUAAUAAACUGUUUUCUCUUUAGUUCUGCUCACUGGGCUUUUUAGCUCACCCCUCUCCCCUAACCCCAGGUUUGCAGGGUCAGAGAUAGUCAAGAGAUCAGCAGGUUAUGUCCAUGGUCAAGUUUAUGUAAUAGUUUAGUAGUGGACAUGAUGUAUUGUAAAGAUAUGUAACGAAAUGUAAAAAAGUUAUUAUGUAAUGUAAUAGUUAGAGUUGUGCUUUGCCCUAGAAGUGUGGUUAAUCCCUUUGUACAUGGUCCUUAUGUAUGUUUUAUAAUGAGGUAGGAAAAGCCAAGUGUAACAGCCCGGAAACCGGUACCCUCUUUGUAACGGCCCAAACUGCUCGGCGCUAGGAUCCAGAUCGGCUUAAGGCCGCCUAGACCCGUAGCAAGCCUGCUACUGAACUCUGGGUACUUGCUCAAUCCCAUACAUGAUCCGACUGGACUACCAACUGACACACUUUUUCCGUAAAACAUACCAGACUUAACCUUUAAACCAUCAGACAUCUCAAUCUGAAAUAGCCCCUAGGGCUAUCUGUACUACACCAGUGAUACUCUACCAAGUAACCUCCAUGCACUAUGCGCUGUGUCAUAGAACCCACUCUGUAAGGGUCAGCAUAUCAUAAGUUAACCUUGGCUACCAUAGAGUCACAGGAAUCAAACCUGGUCUUCUCUAAUGGACUCUCUAUGGGUCACAGGAAUCAAACCUGGUCUUCCCUCUGCACUGGUCUUGGGUUAAGGGAAUUAAACCCUGUCUUCCCUCACAGUUAUAAUUCACUGGGUUUUCGAAACACAACAUUUAUUAAGUCUGGUUUGACUCAUUUCUCAUCAUGAAACUGAAAACAGGAUACAUGCAUAUACAAGGGAUAAAACAUACUAUAGGCAAAGCACAUACUAAUCCAUAAGCACCUUAACUGACCAUCUAUACAUCUGUAAUAAAUAUCUCUUUAGUUUACAUCAUGUCCAUUACUCUAUUACACAAGCAAAACUGUAGCCAAUACCCUGCUGCUUCUAACCUUCCCAGCUAACCCUGUACCUGCAAAACUGGGAGUAAGGGAAAGGGAUGAGCUAUAAAGCCCAGUGAGUAGAAACACUGAAAACAGUUCAUUCAUACGCAUUUUAUAUGAAAAUGCAUCACAACUCAAACAUUCCAUAUCUUGGAUUAGACAUGACCUCAAAACUCCCUCGACGGGCUAUUGAUGUCGCCUUGGUCCAAUCCUCAUAAACAUUGAAAAUGCAAUGCACCAUAUUCGUGAUUCUAAUGCAAUCACCCUAAGAUAUAGCAUGGCAUCCAUGAUGCAUGAACUAUGCUAACAAGCAUUCUGUUACUUUAAUAUAAAAUAUUAAGUUUAGUUCUACUCACAUCUGCUCCUCUGGCAGAAACUGUACUGACUCUGCAACUGCUAAUCCUGACGACCUCCCUGAACUGUCGGGUCCAAUCCUACACAAAUGGACUCGAAUGAGGUGUCAAACAUACUCUUAUCAACUCUUAAACAUUCCCCCAUAAUCCCUUCUGACCCUCUAAACCCAAUCACACAAAGCAUGCAAAAGAAGGCUGGACAGAACACAUUCGGCGGCAGGUUCGGCGGCCGAAUGUCCUGAACAGAGCCGAAACUCAAGUACCUUCGGCGGCCGAAUAUCCUCUUUCGGCGGCCGAACCCUUUCGGGGGCUACUUUCGGAGGCCGAAACCCCUAAACAGAGCCGAACCUCAAGGCACUCAGGGGCAAGCUGUGGCAGCCUAAGCCACCAUGCAAGGGGUUCGGCGGCCGAAUCCUUCUUCGGCUGCCGAACCUGAGUUCUUCAAGAACUCAGCUUCUCCCGCAACCUAGCUCCUCCAUCUUUUCCUCCUCUCUAAACAUGCAUAACUCCAAACCUCAACUUACAUAUACUCAAGUAUAUGCUCCAAAGGGGUCCAAAACUACCUAUCAACCCCAACAAACAACACUCAUAACACAUAAUCAAACUUCUCCAUAAACUCACCAAAACGAACCUAAGCAUGCAACUCUACAUAACUCCCAUAACCUCUUUAAAAAGCUAUUAAAAACCAUUAAAACAAACUUAAAGACUUCCCUUACCUCCUGAAAUCAGAAGAGGAACAACCAAACUCAGCAACUCCUCCUCCAAAGCUUCAAACCCUCACAACUCUUCUUUUCUCUCCAAAACGUUCAAAACCUUUUGCAAAUGAUCAACCCUCUGCAUAAGCUGAUGAAAAGCUUGCAGAUGAGUCAGGAGAAACGUGGCCUAACCUCUGGUCAUGAUCUGGAGGUGAACACCUGGCCAAAUCACGGACUGAGGAGCGUGCACAGCUAACCGACCAUCCCAGUUUCGGCUGCCGAAACUGCAUGCAAAACCAUGCAACUUUCGGGGGCCGAACAUAAACUUCGGGGGCCAAACAUUGGGCACUUUCGGCGGCCGAACUUCACAUUCGGGGGCCGAACAUGACAGAAACUCCUUUGGCCAUUUCUCCCUAAAACUCAACUAUUUCCUAAUCAAACCGUUAAAAUACUUUAAAACAUUUUAGAAAACCUUCACUCUAUCCUCAGGAGACCUUUGACAUCCUUGAAUCCCACCGGACGAUAAGAAUUCCGAUGCUGGGUUUAGCCGGGUAUUACACCAAGCUUAAUGUAUGUUGCCCCACGAGAGUAGAUGAUGAGAACUCUAGUGUUGGGGUCUAUGAUUAUGAGUUGUGCAUGCACAGGUUAAGCUUGGUGUUUGAAAGAAAGAAAAUGUUUACAGUUUUAUGUUUUAAAGUUUAUGCUUAUGUUUGAUCAUGUAUGGGAUUAUACCAGAUGUACAGGAUGUAUGUUAGGCUUGCUAUGGGUCCCGGCGACCUUAAGUCAAUCUGGAUCCUAGCGCCGGUAGCGGUCCGAUUUUCGAGUCGUUACAAUCAGUCCAAUAUUGUAUCUUCUUGACAAGAUUAACAGGUUAGUCUCAUAUCCUUCUUAUGAAAUAAAUGAAGCACUCGGAUUCUGGAAAAGGAAAUCAGAGAAAUUUUAUUUUUCCGCUGCGCCUUUGGGUUGCAAUAAUUUUUGGAUUUCCCAACAGUGGUAUCAGAGCCAACCUGUGCUUUUCGUUUAAAUUAAUUAUGCCAUGAUUGAUAUUAUAUAUGCGAUAAAUGUUUAUUUGAAUGGCAUGAUAAUUGUGGAUGAAUGAUUGGAUCAUUUAGAUAAUUUUAAUUUUUGUUAGAAAAAUUAAAUUAAUAAAAAAAAGGAUUCACGAUGAACAGUCAUCGUGAACCCAGAAUUUGGAAAGGACCAGACCAUCACAUGUGAAGGCCACAGGCGAGCACGCGAUGGUAGGUGGUCAUGUGUGUUGGCAUGACCCACCGCUGAUGCAUGCACGAAGCAACGAUGGGAAGUGGCCACUUCUCUGGCUGCUGAGCUCAUCGUCGGACAUGGCGGCGAUUGCAUGGGCUGCUAUUUGGUGAAGAAGCGACAACUAGGGCUUCUUCCUGAGGAAGAAGAUAAUGCCCUAAUUACAAAUCUGCCCCUGGAAAUAAAAAAAUAUUAAUAAGAAAAUAAAUUUUAAAUUAUUUUCUUUUAGUCUUUAAAUCAGAUUUAAAUGACUAUAUUUUAUUAUUUUGUCAUAUAUUAGUAUGAGAUACUAUGCAUUAUUGUCUAUAUAUAUAUAUAUAUAUAUAUAUGUAUGCAUAUAGGAUGCUAUAAUAUAUAUAUGCAUGACAAAAUAAUUAAAAGUUGAACCCUCACUCUAAAAUUUUAAGUUUUAAUGCCACCCAUAUAUUAAAUACCUAUCAAGACUAAGAUCACCAAAAUGCAGGUUUUGUCAAAGCAAAGUGCUUAGGUUAUCCUAGUAAGAUAGAAUGAGUAAUAGUUACUCAUUUAUUUAAUUUUGGUUGGGCUUAAUUAGGCUAUCAAAACGGUUUUGGGCCUAAGGCAUUAGAUGGGGUAUAACAUUCAAUUUAACAUAUAAUAUCAACACCUCAUAAUCUAAGAGUUACAUUAGAUGUAAUUGGUAAGGAGUUACCUACCUAAAUAACUUAAUUCUAAGCGUCAUGCCAAAGCUGACUUAGAAUUAGGUGAAAUAUGAAUCUUAGCCCACUAAAAUAUUAUAAUUCUUCUUGAGGGUAAUAUUUUAGUAGGAGAUUAUUAUCACCUCAAUAUUAAUUUACUAAAUUGCUUAUAUUUGCAUAUUUUGUAGAUAAUUAUGGCUGCUAAUAACAAUUCUACCUUAUCACUGCGAUCCAUCCUUAAGAAGGAUAAACUGAAAGAAAAUGGGUCUAAGGGACGAGGCAAGCCUGAAUGGCAAUCCAAGGCAAAAGUUCCUAAGGAAAUAGUUCCUAAGGAAGGAGUCUGCUUCCAUUGCAAGGAACCAGGGCAUUGGAAGAGAAAUUGCAAACUCUAUUUGGAUAAGUGUAAGAAGAAGAAGAGUAGUGAGACUACGACUUGGGGUAUUUAUGUUAUAGAUAUUAAUUUAUCUAUUUCUACUUCAUGUGUAUUAAAUACCGGAUGUGGUUCUCACAUUUGUACAAAUGUGUAGGGUCUCAAAAGGAGUAGAAAAACUGAAAAAAGGCGAUGUGGACCUACGUGUAGGCAAUGGAGCAAGAGUUGUUGCAUUAGCUGUAGGGACUUAUGAACUUAUUUUGCCCAAUGGGCUUUUGUUAGUUUUGAACAAUUGCUUUUAUGUUCCUACUUUGAGUAGGAAUAUUAUUUCAAGGACGAUGAAGGUUUUUCAUUUGUUAUUAAGAAUAAGAAAUGCUCCAUUAAUAAAGAUGGUUUCCUUUAUUGUAUUGCAAAUUCAUAUGAUGGCCUUUAUGUCCUUAAUCUAGAUGAUUCUAGAGAUAAUAAUAUCUAUAACAUAACUUCUAAGAAAACUAAGCCAAAUGAGUUAAACUCAACAUAUUUAUGGCACUGUUGUCUUAGUCAUAUAAAUGAGAAUCGCAUAUCUAAGCUCCAUAAAGAUGGUUUAUUAGAUUCAUUUGAUUUUGAAUUAUUUGAAAAUUGUGAAUCUUGUUUGCUUAGUAAGAUGACAAAGGACCCAUUUACUGGACAAGGUCAAAGGGCUUCAGACUUAUUGGGCUUAAUAUAUACAGAUGCAUGUGGCCCACUAAGCACUAGUGCCAAGAGAGGUUAUCAGUACUUCAUUACAUUCACUGAUGAUUUCAGUAGGUAUGGCUAUGUCUACCUAAUGAAACAUAAGCAUGAAUCUUUGAAAUGUUUAGAACUUUUCAAAAUGAAGUACAAAAUCAACUUGGUAGAACUAUUAAAAUGCUUCGAUCUGAUCGAGGUGGUGAAUAUUUGAGCCAAGAGUUUGAUGAACAUCUUAGAAAUUGUGAAAUUGUUUCACAAUUGACUCCUCCAGGAACUCCACAAUGGAAUGGUGUUUCUGAAAAGAGAAAUCGAACUUUAUUAGAUAUGGUUCGAUCUAUGAUGAGUCAAACAAAUCUCCCUUUAUCAUUUUAGGGUUAUGCCUUUGAAACGGCUGCGACUUGAGGAAACUCAAGCACCACAAGAGAGCAUUGAACCACUGAUAAAACCACUUUCAGAACCACAAACAGUUGUGGAAACUGAAAGGGUGACACAAGUCCCACGCAGAUCUGAUAGGACACGUCAUCAGCAUGAGAGAUAUGGAUUUCUCAUGACUGAUAGUCGUGAACUUUUGCUCAUUGAUCAAGAUGAGCCUAAUACCUAUCAAAAGGCUAUGUCAGGUCCAGAUUCUGAGAAAUGGCUUUCUGCCAUGAAAUCUGAAAUGCAAUACAUGAAUGACAAUCGAGUUUGGUCAUUAAUUGAUCCCCCUGAGGGUGUUAAGAUUAUUGAUUGCAAAUGGGUUUUCAAGAAGAAAACUGACAUGGAUGGAAAUGUGCAUACCUACAAAGUAAGGCUUGUCGCAAAAGAUUUCAAGCAAACUCAUGGUAUAGACUAUGAUGAGACCUUUUCGCCAGUUGCAAUGCUUAAGUCAGUUAGAAUUCUCAUUGCCAUUGCUGCAUACUAUGAUUACGAGAUAUGGCAAAUGGAUGUCAAAACAGCUUUCCUUAAUGGAAACUUGCUCGAGGAUGUGUAUAUGACACAACCUGAGGGUUUUGUAAUCCCUGAGAAUUCUGAAAAGAUUUGCAAGCUUUAAAUAUCCAUUUAUGGAUUGAAGUAAGCUUCUCGGAGCUGGAAUCUUCAUUUUGAUUAGACAGUCAGGGACUUUGGAUUGAUCAAAAAAUGAAGAUGAACAUUGUGUUUACAAGAUGGUUAGUAGGAGUGCAGUUGUGUUUCUAGUCCUAUAUGUGGAUCACAUAUUACUCAUUGGAAAUGAUAUCCCUACCUUGCAAAAGGUGAAGACUUGGUUAGGGAAUUCUUUUUCAAUGAAGGACUUAGGUGAGGCUGCUUAUAUCCUUGGUGUUAAGAUCUAUAGGGAUAGAUCCAAGAGGAUAAUCGGUCUGAGUCAAAGUACUUAUAUUGACAAGGUGCUGAAAAGGUUCAGCAUGCAAGAUUCCAAAAGAGGAUUCUUGCCCAUGUCUCAUGGUAUUCAUCUCAGCAAGAAUUAAUGUCUUAUGACAUCUGAUGAGUGAGAACGAAUGAAUAAGAUUCCUUAUGCUUCUGCUAUUGGAUCUAUCAUGUAUGUCAUGUUAUGUACUAGACCAGACAUCUCAUAUGCCUUGAGCACAACAAGCAGAUAUCAGGCAGAUCCUAGUGAAAGUCAUUGGACAGAUGUUAAGAAUAUCCUAAAGUACCUUAGAAGGACUAAGGAUGCAUUCCUAGUUUAUAGAGGUUUGGAAGACGAGCUAGUUGUAAAUGGUUACACAGAUGCUAGUUUUCAAACCGACAUAGAUGACUUCAGAUCGCAGUCAGAUAUCAAAAUAUGCAAAGUAGACACAAAUAACAACAUUGCAGAUCCAUUUACCAAGCCUCUUUCACAGGUCAAGCAUGAUCAGCACACUAGGUCUAUGGGUAUUAGAUACCUGUAUGAUUAGGCCUAGUGCAAGUGGGAGAUUGUUAGUGUAUAUGCCCUAGGCCAUUAUCUUGGACCUUUUUGUAUGUCGUUUUGGUUAUUAAUAAAAGAGAUUUUUAUCAUUAUUGUUUGUUUGCAUGUUACAUAAUAAUGAUUAUCAUCCCAGGUUACUUAUUAUUAUGUUGAUAAUAAGAAAAUAUAGCUAGUAUGAUUAUUGAUUGAUAAUCAUGAGAUGAUUAUGUAUAUGUUGAUAUAAUUCAAUAAUCAUAGAUACUUAUUAGAGAACAAAGUAUUGGAUGGACCCGCAUUGAGAUCACUAUAUGGGUCAUUGUCAUAAGUGAAUCUCAAAGUAGUUAUGUCUUAAUCCUUUGACUUGAGAUUGUCAUAGUUUCCAACAUAAGGACUGUUAUGUUUUGACAUAACCAAACAUUGUCUUUAAUCGGACAAUCAUAAAGGUUAUGAUUGAGCGUAAUAGAAAUUAUGUAGAGGAUAAUGAACAAUCAAGAUAGGAUUUAUCCUCUCUCCGAGAGAGAUAUCUUCUGGACCCCUCAAUAAGUGAGACUGAGAAAUGCAUGGCCGUGCUCAAAUGAAUUGAUAGUGUGAUCAAUAUCAUUUGAAUUUAUCAGUCUACUUAGAGAUCGAGAAAUCAUAAGUUUGAACAUUAUAAGUUUGACAUUGACCAUGACUUAUGUUCAAACUAGAUAUCUUGUGACAAAGGGAUUAAUUCAUGUUCUAAUUAUUAGGCUUUAUCGGACUAUUGAUCCUCAUAUUAGUUGGAUAGUCAUAAUGUCUUGCUAGAGGCCACUUACGACUUAUGGGCCUUGUGGGACUGGGCCUAUUGCCAAUUAAUGUGAGCCUAUUGGGUCACACACAAAAGAACGUUGUUGAUGUGCUAUGUCAUAUUAAUGGGCUAAAAGCCCAAAGCCCAUUAAUAUAAUUAAUAAUAAUAAAAUGUUAUUAUUAUUAAUAUUAAUCAUUGAUAUAAUUAAUAAUAAUGAAGUGUUAUUAUUAUUAAUAUUAAUUAUUAAUAUAAUUAAUAAUAAUAAAGUGUUAUUAUUAUUAAUCAUUUAUUAUUAUGAGAUAAUAAUAUUUAAAAGAUUUGAAGUCUAUCUAUAACUGUUACAGAUAAAGGACUCUGUCACAUAAAGAUAUUUGAGUAUCUGUAAGAUUGUGAUAGUGGGUUAUGAACACAACUCCUUUUAAGAAAAGGAGUUGUGGGAAAAACAAAAGACUGAAACAUAUAAAUACCCCUUCUACGAAUUAUGGAAGAGAGAUAUUUUUUUGAGAAAAAUCAGUCUAAAUAGUUGCAGAUUGUGGAGCACAUAAUCUAUCUAUCUUUGAGAGAACUAGCACUCUAGAAGGAUAGAAGACGUUCGUGUGGAUACCGUAGAGAGUGUUCAUUUGAAAAAGCAGCACCAUCAGUCCAACAUUGUAUCUUCUUGACAAGAUUAACAGGUUAGUCUCAUAUCCUUCUUAUGAAAUAAACGAAGCACUCGGAUUCUGGAAAAGAAAAUCAGAAAAAUUUUAUUUUUUCGCUGCGCCUUUGGGUUGCAAUAAUCUCUGGAUUUCCCAACAAAAUUUGUGUGAAUGAACUUAACAUGACUUGAUUUAGCAAUUGGUGUUGAUUUGUCCAAUGCAUUGAUUAAGGAAAUUCAGCAAAGGCUUAGACUUCAUAAGCACAAUUGAAAACUAUUUCAAUGGUUGAAAGACUAUGAACAGAGCUAGUAGCCACUUGGACAGGUGACCAACUGAGUAACGGGGGGUGGGUAUCACCAAUAUGUACCUUCACGACAAAAGGUUGGUGACUUUUUCAAGCAAUAUUAAAGUGCAAAAAGCUAAAUAAAGUACUUCAAGGUAAGGGCAAAUCACUCUGAAAGCUAGAAAAAGUCUUAAUUGAAUAGAACAUGUGCAUGUAUAAUCUCUCUCUUGAGUAAAACAAAUCCUAGCCAUGGUAAGUAAAGGGAAACAAGGAGAGAAGGUGAGUAAUCUUCAUGCAUAUAUUCUUCACUGCAAUGAUUCACAAUAGGUGUCUAGAGUAAGAGCUUAAGUGGAAAUAAGGAUCAAGUAGCAAAGAGAUCUUGUUUGACUAUGUUUAUUUGCUUGAGGACAAGCAAAAGGCUAGGUGUGGGGGUAUUUGAUAGAGCAUAUUUUAGUCCACUUUAUCAUGAUGUUAUGGACGUUUAUUUACAUAUUUUCUGCCUAAUUUUGUGGUUUUAAUCAUGUUUUGCAGAUAUUAGGUGUAAAGAGACAAUCUGGAGAAAAUGCUCUUAAAACUGCCAAAAAGUGUCAAAUAUGGAAAGUUUUCAAGUAAGGAAAGUUUUCAGAAAAGGAAAGUUUUCAAAUAAGGAAAGUGCAGAAGCAAAAGUAAAUAAGGAAAGAUCAGUCAGAAGAUUAUUUGAAAUUCAAAUUGCAGAUCUUUCUUUCCUUGUUCAAUGAUGUGCACACACUACAGCAGUCAUAUCUUCCUAUUUAGGCAGCAAGAUUUCAAGAAGACGCACUUGCCUCUUUUGCAUUCAGCAUUCAAAAUUCAAACGAAAGCUCCACCUAAAAAGGAAAGACUGGACAAAUAUCUUUCCUCUUCUGCACAUUCAUUGCCGUGUGCCACUGAUAGCGGUUGUCGAAACUGUAAAAAAUAAACCUAUUUUCAAUCAACAAAAUAAUUUGUAGAUAGCGGCAAUAGGGUCAAACCACAGGGAUUUGACACUACGAAUUUUCCUAAUAAUGACUUGGACAAAUAAAUAACAAAAGUAAAUAGAAAGAGGGGGUUUGUUUUGAAGAAUUAUAACUGAUUACAAGAAAGCAGUAAUUAAAUAAAUAAGUAAAUCAAUCGGAGAAGGAUUCUAGUUGAAGUAUGGGUCUAUUUCAGCUUGAUUAGAAUUGAUCAUUGAUCUUUUUGAUACCCCUAUUUACUUCAAUAAAUUAGUUUAGGAUGUGGAAGACGCUUCUCAAAAUCUAAAUUUCUCCUUAGUUUUAGUAUGAUUAGGAAACGUUCGCUAAUCAAACACUAGUUAACAAGUUGCCAAGGAACGUCCUUGGAGAUUUUUACUAACUGCCUUAAGACUUAGAGAAACCUAAUUCUAUCCUUACCAACUGUGUGGUCAAGUAUAGAUUAUGCAACCGAUUAUACUUGAGUUUAAACAACCUAAGCAAUUACGGACCUAAAUCAUUCAAAGAAUAUAUUACUCAAGCAAUUAAAAGCAAUAGGCCUUAAUUGAUUCUAAAAGCAAAGUAAUAAUAAUAGAAAGAUCAAGUUGCAUAAAUAUUGAAAAUAAAUAAGAGUUAAAUAAUGGAGAUUUAAAUCUCCCUAUUCAUCACAAAUCUAAAAUUUCCCAACUUCAACUAGAAAAGAAAAGUGUUUAGCCACUCAUGGUGGACAAAAAUACACAAAAGAAAGAAGAAAAGAAGAAGGAGAGAGGCUGCCAAAAUUCUACAGUGAUUCUCAUGAGUUUCUGCAGAAAAUCUGAUGGUCCCUAGCUGGUUUGGGGCUGCCUCCUUUUAUAGGUGAAGAAUCCUAAUCCAAUUAGAAUUUGGAAUCCUACUAUGGAUUGGUCUUUUUGUAGUCUUUAAUCUCCUAUUUGCUUUUGUAUUUAAUUGUGAAUAAAUCUUCUUCUUGAAGGAGUCUUUCUUGGGAGUGACUCUUGGAGAUGUCCUAGGAUUGAUCUUAAAGUGUUUGAAGUAGGAUAGGACUUCAAUGCUUUUGAAUUUUGAAUUCUCCCUUUUUCCCGCUCUGCUGUCAUUUUCAUUUGGGCAGUGAUUUACCCAAGUCGCUUGCCCCAAUCGCUUCCUGUGAGUCUGUCCCAGUUUUUCUGCUUUAGCUUGAUUUGGGCAGUGAUUUGGCCAAAUCACUUUGACCCAAUCACUUUUUUAGCUUUUUCUGCACUUUUUCUCCAACUUUCCAUUUUCUUCCUUUUCUGCAAAAACAUGAUAAAAACCAUAAAUUAAGCUGGAAAAUGUGUAAUUAAACAGUAAUAAAGAUAAUAAAAAUGUGGUUAAAUUAUGUUUGAUCAGCCACUUUCCCUUCUGCAGUGUAUGCCGCGCGCCUCCUUCCCUCUGAAGAGCUUGCAACGCGAUUAUUUCCUUUUCAUACACAACUUGGGCAGCAAGCAGCCUCUUGGGCAGCAAGUAAGGACCUAGGGCAACAAUUUCAACUAUAAAAAGACACAUAAGGAGCCUCCCCAUGCUUUUUCUACUCUCCCUUGGACACACCUACGGGAUUGCAAGUGACACCAUCUCUUCUUCUUCCUUUCUUUAUUUUUGGUUUUUGUUUCAGCCAUGAGUGGCUGAAACCUGCGACAGCAGUAGCUGUUCGACUUAAUUGCAGCAACAGUUUUCCAGGCGAGAAGGUCGAGCUCGCGGACAUUACCUUGACGUUUUCUAGAAAGGUUUGCGAAAUAAGAGUGAUAGAGCAUAAUUUAGUCCAUUUUAUUAUGAUGUUAUUGAUGUUAAUUUACACUAUUUCUGCUUAAUUUUGUGGUUUUAAUCUUAUUCUGCAAAAAAUGGUGUAAAGAGACAAUUUGGAGAAAAUGCCCCUAAAACUGCCUUAAUUGGAGCAAAGGAGAGCAAGCAUGCCAAGUGCAACUGAAAGGAGCCAAAUAAGGAAAGUAAUUUGAAAUUCAAAUUGCAAAUCCUUAAGAGAAUUCAAAAUUACAAUUCAAGAUUCAACUCAUUAACGAAAGUGCUAAAUAAGGAAAGUGCCAAAUAAGGAAAGUGCAAUCAAAAGAGCAGUUUGAAAUUCAAGAUCUUCAAUAAUCCUUUUCCUUAUUCAAGAAGCCAAAUUUUCAAGAUGCACAUUCAGAUUUUGAAAUUCAAAUUCAGCUUGCCAAAGAAGCCAAAGAAGUCACACAUGCCACACAUGCCAUGCACAUUCAAAAUUCAAAUUGCCAAAUGUAGGCUCCAUCUCAUCACAUGGGUGGCAAGGCAUGGGCAGCAUAUGGGCAGCCAAAUGAAGGCACUUGGGCAGCAAGAAAGAAGACCUAGGGCAGCAUCUUACAUCCUUUAUAAUCCUCCCAAAGGCUGCCGCACAAGCUUGGUCCAUCCUUCUCCCAAUUGGCACACAAGGCUCCACCAAUUGAAGACACUUGGACAGCACUUUGGGCAGCACUUAGGCAGCACGUGGGCAGCAGCUAGGGCAUCACAAGAACCUUAUUUAAAGGCUCCUUAACCUGCCACACACAUGCUAUAACUUCAAUCCCCAUUCGACCAAGAAGGGCCAAUCAGCCGACGCUCUCCAAGGCUCCACAAUUCGGUUUUUCUUCAUCUUCUUGUCUUCUUGUCUUCUUUUCUUUUAUUUUAUGUUUUGGUUCAGCCAUGAGAGGCUGAAACCUUUUAUUCUAGUUGAAGAUUGGUUGAAACUUAAGUUGUUUUAUGGAUUAUGUGAUCUGAACAUAAACUGUUUGUCUUUGGUUUGUUCAAUAUUCAUACAGUUUCAUGCUUGAUUCUAUUAUUUCUUUGUUGUUUUGAUCAAAUUGGUCAUUUGAUUCUUGAUUGCAAGGUAAUAUAUUGUUAGUUUGGAUAAUUUUAAGUCACUAAUUGCUUGGAUUAUUCAAACAUAAGAACACUUGGUGUAAAAACUAAGGAAAUUGUAUGAUCUAGCAACAUCCCAUGCGUUUGAGUAGCUAGGAUUGGAUCUCUCUAUCUCUUCAUGCAAUCAACAGUUGUUUUGAUGCCUAAGGCCCAAGGACAUUCCUUGGCAACUUGUUAAUUAGUAAUUAAUUAGAGGACGUUCCCUAAUUGAUUUAAUCUUAAGGAGAGACAUGGUGGUGAGAAGCGUUUUCCAUCUCCAUAACUAAUAUAUUGAAUCAAUCAAAAGAACAUAAGUUUCAAUGAUCAAUCCAAACAACUAAAGUGGAUUCAACUCUUCAACUAGACCUUUCUCAUAUUUGAUUUCCCUUUAUUUUUACUAUUCGCUUCUUUAUUGCUUGCUUGAUUAGUUCAACUGAAUCAAUCUCAAAACCCCCCUUUUUACUUUUAUUGCACUUUAUUUUUAUUUUGCUUUCAGUUAAUUACUUUUAGUUCUCAUUCAGUUAAUUCUCUUGGUGUUGUUAAGAAAAAUAGAAAAGUUUUCAAUUCUCUGUGGAUUUGAUCCUUUACCGCUAUCUGUAGUAGUAAUAUUAGUGAUAACCGAAAAGGUUAUUUUCAACCGGCUUCAACAACCGCGAGUCAAAAAUUGGCGCCGUUGCCGGGGAAUUGAUUCAACUAAUCUAUUUUUUCUUUCAGGACCAAAUCAGGAACAAAGCACCACCGAAUCUGCCUCUGAAGAAGCCACCAUCGCAGAUCCCAUCUCUGAAACAUCUCCAUCGCACAUCUCACCUUCUCUUCACCAUUCGGAUUGCCCAUCCUUUCACCAAAAGCAAGUCACCAUCGUAUAUCUGAAUCAUGGAUGAGGUAAGCACAUCUGUUCUCUAUUCUCAACUUUAUGAACUCACAUCUGCUAUGAAAGAUUUUGCCAUAGGACUAGCUCAACAGGCUCAAGCAUCCCAGCCACCUAGGCCAUGUGGGAUUUGUGCAUAUGUAGGACAUCCAACUGAUCAAUGUCCUACACUUUAUGAGUAUGACCAACCAGUGCAUGCAUUUGGAGGAUUCAAUAGUCAGCCUAGACAUACGUUUGGAGGAUUCUAUGAACAGCCAAGACAUGAUCCCUACCAUGACACAUACAAUCCAGGUUGGGGAGACUAUCCAGAAUUCAGUUAUGCAAGGGCUAAUGACUACCAGGACUAUCAAGGAUAUCAAGCCCAAAAAGCACCUCCAAGUUCCAAUAUGCACUUUGAAGAAAUGGUAGAGACAUUGACAAUUUUUGUGCAAAGCCUCCAACAGCAGGUGGAUCAAAUGACCACCUCAUUAAAUACAAACAUGUUAAGAAAAGAGAAAGAGUUUCAAGAUGAUGAGACUGAUGAUGAGAGUUCACAAGUACAAGAACAAGCUGACGAAGAGAAACAACCAGAAUACUGUUUGUCCAAACAAACCAGUCAAACAGAACUUGUUGAUAGCUUAGAUAUCAUUGAUUGUUUGAGCAAAGAUGUUUUUGAUAUAAAUCAAGAUGAUAUACUAAACAAUGAUCUAUGCAGGAAAGAGAGCCAGAAAGAGCUAGAACUGAAAGAAACCGACUGUUGCAUCCAAUAGGUGGACUGCAGCCAUGCGCAGAAUGAAGAAAGCUCAGUCGCACCUCUUCAGCUUCCAUCACAUGAAACUCCUUCCAGCCUUCCAUUGUAGACCAAUCUUGCACAGAAGGAGCAAACUGAAACCAAUUCAGCCAUAGAUCCAACGCAAACAGCCUAUGCUCACAAGUAACAAAUGGUAUUCCAAGCACCUAAACCAAAGGACCAUGCGGAUCAAUGCCUUCCCAAACCUCCGGAUAAGGUAGAAUUUGUUUUGCCUGAAUUUAGUACCAAAUUACAGCUACACAUGGAGAAACAUGAAUUGGAAUUCAAAGUGCCUCCCAAUCAUCUCAAAAAAGCAAACAUAAGGGCUAGAGGCACACCUCAUCUGAAAGAGGAGAAGCUAAUCAUGUUACUUCAUGAGUACAUGGAAAAAAUAGGAUGGGUUAUGACCAAAUCAAAAGGAGUGCUACACUUUCUACUCAAUUCAGUUGGGACUCUUUUCCCUUCCCCAAUUACUUGAGCCUUGAUCAAAUGGAUCACACCAUGCACACCACACCCAGGGGAGUACUCAGUUUUCUUUUGCAUUUUAAUUUUUCCAAUAUAUUGAGGACAAUGCAUGAUUUAGGUGUGGGGUGCAUAUUUCUGAAUCUUUAUUUUUGUUUAUUUUUGCUUUGAUUUUUAGUUUGAAUUUUUGUUUUCAUUUUUAGUGUGAUUUUUUUUCAAUUGUUCAUUUUUGCUUUCAAUAACACACACAACCAUAAUCUUCUUCUUUUUUACUUGCUCUACUCAAACUCAUAGACUAUGUUGGAUGAGCUUUCUUUCCAUGACUCCAUUGAUAUGAUGACUCUUUAAACUUAUGUUGAAUCAAUUGCAGUGAGUUGUAUUUAUUUUUUAGAAUUGCCUUUUGAAUAGAAUCUUUGAGCUUGCCAUGGUGAAAAAUAUAUUGAUGACACUUAUUAGAGAGAAUGAAUUGAAUGAUGUGUGAAUGAACUUAACAUGACUUAUUUUAGCAAUUGGUGUUGAUUUGCCCAAUGCAUUGAUUAAAGAAAUUCGACAAUGGCAAAGACUUCAUGAGCACAAAUUAAAAACUGUUCCAAUGGUUGAAAGACUAUGAGCAGAGCUAGUAGCCACUUGAACAGGUGACCAACUGAGUAACUGGGGGUGGGUAUCACCAAUAUAUACCUUCACGUCAAAAGGUUGGUGACUUUUUCAAGCAAGAUUAAGGUGCAAAAAGCUGAAUAAAGUACUUCAAGGUAAGGACAAAUCACUCUGAAAGCUAGAAAGAGUCUUAAUUGAACAAAUAACAUGUGCAUGUGUAAUCUCUCUCUUGAGGAAAACAAAUCCUAGCCAUGGUAAGUAAAGGGAAACAAGGAAAGAAGGCAAGUAACCUUGAUACAUAUAUUCUUCACUGUAAUUAUUCAAAAUAGGGGUCUGGAGUAAGAGCUUAAAUGGAAAUAAGGAUCAAGUAGCAAAGAGAGCUUGUUUGACUAUGUUUAUUUGCUUGAGGACAAGCAAAAGGCUAGGUGUAGAGGUAUUUGAUAGAGCAUAAUUUAGUUCAUUUUAUUAUGAUGUUAUUGAUGUUAAUUUACACUAUUUCUGCUUAAUUUUGUAGUUUUAAUCUUAUUCUGCAAAAAAUGGUGUAAAGAGACAAUUUGGAGAAAAUGCCCCUAAAACUGUCUUAAUUGGAGCAAAGGAGAGCAAGCAUGCCAAGUACAUUUGAAAGGAGCCAAAUAAGGAAAGUAAUUUGAAAUUCAAAUUUCAAAUCCUUAAGAGAAUUCAAAAUUCGAAUUCAAGAUUCAGCUCAUUAAGGAAAGUGCUAAAUAAGAAAAGUGCCAAAUAAGGAAAGUGCAGUCAAAAGAGCAGUUCGAAAUUCAAGAUCUUCAAGAAUCAUUUUCCUUAUUCAAGAAGCCAAAAUUUCACGAUGCACAUUCAGAUUUUGAAAUUCAAAUUCAGUUUGCCAGAGAAGCCAAAGAAGUCACACAUGCCACACAUGCCAUGCACAUUCAAAAUUCAAAUUGCAAAAGGUAGGCUCCAUCUCAUCACAUGGGCGGCAAGGGAUGGGCAGCAUAUAGGCAGCCAAUUGAAGGCACUUGGGCAACAAGAAAGAAGACCUAGGGCAGCAUCUUACAUCCUUUAUAAUCCUUCCAAAGGCUGCCGCACAAGCUUGGUCUAUCCUUCUCCCAAUUGGCGCAUAAGGCUCCACCAAUUGAAGACACUUGGGCAGCACUUUGGGCAGCACUUGGGCAGCACGUGGGCAGCAGCUAGGGCAUCACAAGAACCUUAUUUCAAGGCUCCUUAACCUGCCGCACACAGGCUGGAACUUCAAUCCCCAUUCAGCCAAGCAAAGCCAAUCAGCCGGUGCUCUCCAAGGCUCCACAAUUCGAUUUUUCUUCAUCUUCUUGUCUUCUUUUCUUUUAUUUUUUGUUUUGGUUUAGCCAUGAGAGGCUGAAACCUUUUAUUUUAGUUGAAGAUUGGUUGAAACUUAUAUUUUUUAUGGAUUGUGAGAUCUGAACAUAAACUGUUUGUCUUUAGUUUGUUCAAUAUUCAUAUAGUUUCAUGCUUGAUUCUAUUAUUGCUUUAUUGUUUUGAUCAAAUUGGCCACUUGAUUCUUGAUUGCAAGGUAAUAUAUUGUUAGUUUGGAUAAUUUUAAGUCUGUAAUUGCUUGGAUUAUUCAAACAUAAGAACACUUGGUGUAAGAACUAAGGAAAUUGUAUGAUAUAGCAACAUCUCAUGCGUUUGAGUAGUUAGGAUUGGAUCUCUCUAUCUCUUCAUGCAAUCAAUAGUUGUUUUGAUACCUACGGCCCAAGGAUGUUCCUUGGCAACUCUUUAAUUAGUAAUUAAUUAGAGGACGUUCCCUAAUUGGUUUAAUCUUAAAGAGAGACAUGGUAGUCAGAAGCGUCUUUCAUCUCCAUAACUAAUUUAUUGAAUCAAUCAAAAGAACAUAAGUUUCAAUGAUCAAUUCAAACAACUGAAGUGGAUCCAACUCUUCAACUAGACCUUUCUCAUAUUUGAUUUCCCUUUAUUUGUACUAUUCGCUUCUUUUAUUGCUUGCUUAAUUAGUUCAACUGAAUCAAUCUCAAAACCCCCAUUUUUACUUUUAUUGCACUUUAUUCUUAUUUUGCUUUCAGUUAAUUGCUUUAAGUUCUCAUUCAGUUAAUUCUCUUGGUGUUGUUAAGAAAAAUAGAAAAUUUUUCAAUUCUCUGUGAAUUCGAUCCUUUACCACUAUCUGCAGUAGUAAUAUUAUUGAUAACCGGAAAGGUUAUUUUUGACAGGCUUCGACAACCGCGAGUCAAAGAGACUCAUGAAAUUAGGGUUGCUCAUUUAAAACUUAUUAUUAGAAACCUAAGAAACUCGUUUAAUAAAAACUUAUUCAUUUGAUGGGUUGAGGUGCUGUGAGAAUUUCAAGAAUCAAUUAUCACAAACCGUGCAUUUACAUAAGCUAAGCUUUAACUUAAUAACCUUUGGUUCGAGCUGCGAGCAAGCCGAGUGAUGCUGCACAAGGGUCGCCCAAAGAAAGGCAUGAGUUUUCAACACAGAAUAGGUCCACGUGGCAAGGAUCUAAUGAGUGGGUAAUGGGGCCCCACCCUAGGAAAGGAAAACCCGAACACCUCAACACUCGGGUUAUUAGCAAGACUUGCCCUCUUCUGGAUAAGAUGAGUCUCGGAACAAAGUUAUCAUUAUCAGGCACAAUCCCCCGUAUACCCAUUAUGCCUAUAAUCGCGGGAUCACCAACCUAUCAGCCGACGAUAUCCCUAAUCAAGCAAACGAUCACAUCAUCAUUGGAUAAUCAAAAAAUGCUAUAUUUAUCUCCAUCUUCUUACAGUAUUAAAGGAGAACGACUAGAGAGGCAAAGGUACGUUGUUCUUUUAUACUGUUCAAGUUCUAAGCAAUUCCUGUCUCUCGCUUUUCUCUUCAGGCUUAUUGAGUUGAGCGUCGGGGUGGCUGCCGUGGGCACCCAUCACCUCACGUUCUCAUUCUUGUAGGUUUAUCCAAUCACAGCAUAACUCUAUUUUUCUACUGCAUCACCAAGCUCAUCCGGGUGCUCAUUGGGCAAUAAGCUCAAAGUUUUGGAAUAAAAAAUGUAUAAGCUCUAUCACAUCGACAUAUUGUUAAACCCCGUGAAUCCGUGCAUCGCUUCUUUUGCUUUUCAUUUUUAGCUCAUUUUGUUUCUGUGCACGACAUAUUGAGGCGUUGAAAUCUCUUUGGUGAAAAAUACAUUUUCUCAUUAGGUUUUCUUAACGUCUUAAAAUUUUUUUUAUUGCACGCUAAGGGUAAUUUUCAAAAGAUUCAAGGACCGAUUAUGAAUUUAGAAGGUAUAUGGCACUAAUUUUAUGAAAAUAGAAUAUUCUGUGAAGCAAAUAAAUCUACCCGUGCUAUGAUUUAGGAUCUACUCAAGCAUCAUUACUUAAAAUCUCUUCAAGAAAGGAAGUCAUUGUGAGUAUGUGUCACAAUUAAUCGUUGCUCCGUUUCAUUUUCUUUAAAAGGCAACGUGACACAACUCAUAAAAAGUGCACACAAUUUCUAGUUAUGUGAAUUCUAAUUUUUUUAUACAAUAUUUUAGAAUAUUGCACGAUGCGAGAUAAAUAAAAAUCUAAUAUUGGCGUUAGAGGGUGCCUGUCAUGAACCAUUAGAGUCAAGAGCCAUCAUUUCCUCUUCCAUUGCAGCACGCCAACCAGGAUGGGACAAAACCUCAAUAAGAAUUUUAAGAACUGAAAUAGAAUCUAAAAUAGUGGCAAAACAACCAGAAGAAGAGGAUAAUUGAUCAUAAGAGACACAAGAUGAAAUAGGAUAAGUGCAAGUACGUUUACCUUUGCGAAGAGCAAUAGGCAAAUCCAAAUCAGACAGUGAAGGAUCAGUUGGAGCAGGAUCUAUCGAUGAGGAAGCGGGUAGCAGAGCGGAAUCAGAGUCCUUUAAGCGUCUAUAAUACACAUGAAAGAUGGGAGGGCGACCUAGCACAUGAGCGGAAGGUAUAGGAGUAGUUUGAGGAGACAGAAAGCAAACAAUAUAUAACAAGAUGUCAUCUUCCUCCCCAUGAGUGUUAUAAACAGAUGAUGGCGAAAAAAACAGAGUGGACUGAAGAAUGUUACAUCCGCAGACACAAGAUACUGAUUCAGAUCAGGAGAAAAACAACUAUACUCUUUCUGACGUUGAGAGUAGCCAAGAAAGACACAUUUGAGUGAUUUGGGAUCCAAUUUAAUAACUUGUGGACGAUUAUCACGAAUAAAAUAAGUACAACCAAAGAUACGUGGCUCAAUAGAAAACAAAGAUUUAGUGGGAAACAAAAUGUUAUAAGGGAUAUCACCAUGAAGGAUGGAGGAAGGCAUGCGAUUGAUAAAAAAACAAGCAGUGGAUAUAACAUCAGCCCAAAAACAUUUAGGUACUUUCAUUUGGAAUAAGAGGGCUCUAGCUACUUCAAAAAGAUGUCGAUUUUUUCUUUUGGCAACUCCAUUUUGUGAAGGAGUGUCAACACAAGAGGACUGAUGAAGAAUCUCUUUUUGUAACAAAUAAGAUUGAAAUUUCCUAGAGAGAUACUCUUUAGCAUUAUCACUUUGCAAUAUACGAAUAGAAAUAUUGAAUUGGGUUUAGAUUUCAGCAUAAAACGCAUAAAGCCCAUUUAGGAAGGAGAUUUCUCCAAGAUAAUUUAGGAAAAUGAUCUUUAAUGUAAUUCAGGUUUGACUAUUUGACUAGAUACCCUUCCUAUAUUGUAAUUACAGCUUCCUACAAUAUAAUUAGGGUUUGAAGGCUAUAAAAACACUCUUAAGGUGGCAGCCAUAGGAAGCCAAUGAAUAAAGAUGAUUUUAUGAACAAUAUUUGGUUCUUCUCCAUUAUUUAGCAACUUAUCGAGGUUUAACCUUGUGACAUUCUAAUAUGGAUCUCCUCUAUGCUUAGUUAACUUAUCAAGAAUUUCUUGUAGCGUUCUCGAAGCUGGAAUCACUUGAUUAUUUAUGUUUCUAAUCACAUUGGUUGGUUAGGGGUGUAGUAGAGCAACCUUCACUUGAUUAUCUAUGUUUCUAAUCACAUUGGUUAGUUAGGGGUGUAGUAGAGCAACCUUCGCUUGAUUAUCUAUGUUUCUAAUUACAUUGGUUGGUUAGGGGUGUGGUAGAGCAACCUUCGCUUGAUUAUCUAUGUUUCUAAUCACAUUGGUUGGUUAGGGGUGUAGUAGAGCAACCUUCUGGAAGAUAUCUUUAUCUUGUUCUUUGUCAAGUUGUGUGACGGGGUUUUUGAUCACAUGUUGAUCCUGGAUUCCGCAUCAGUGUGGAACAUGCAAGAGAUCUAGGUAGUUGCUGAUCCAAGACGUACAGACCCUUUGACUCACACCCUCUACUAAUAAUCUGCUUCGUUGAAAAAUCCUGAAAAACACAGUGAUCAGAAAAGAAUGAGACACAAUAAUUCAAUGCACGAGUGAGUUUACUAACGGAAAGCAAAUUAAACGCGAACUUAGGGAGACAUAACACGGAGGAUACAGAAAGAGAAGGGGUUAAGUUGACACAUCAACAAGAGUAAUAUAAGAAGACGAUGCAUGAGACUCAAGAUUGGACAAAUGAGUAGAAUUACCUAACAUAUGAUCGGUAGCACCAGAAUCAAUAACCCAUUUGGAGGAUGAAGACACAAAAUAUGCAAUAGAGUUACCUGACUCGGCAAUUGCAGUGAUAGAGGAGUUAGAGGAUUUCAGAGAUGUAUGGUAUUGGAUGAAUUGUGCAUACUCAUCUGCGGAUAUCAAAAUUCCCUAAUCUGAAGAGGCCUCAACUGCCAUAUGCGAAAUUUGUGUGCGCUGAUUCUCAUUCUGUAAUUUUUGACAUGUCUUCUUAGUAUGCCCAGGUUCGCGACAGUAAUAACAAAUGAUUCCUCCUAAGUCAGAAGUAGAAGUUGUUUCCCUAGAAUGAUGAGAUCCUUUACCACCAUUAAAACCUCCUCUUUGCCCACCUCUAUUAUUUUGUCUGCCACUGUCAUUGCGACUAAUAAGGGCACUAGUGGGGUGUGAAGGAAUUAGAGACUCUAUACGCAACACCCUAGUGAACACAUCAUGUAACGAUGAUAUUUCAAAGUCAGAAAGCAUAUGAGAUUUAGCUGUCUCAAAUUCUGGAGGGAGACCUGUAAGAAAGCUCAUAAUAGUCAUUUGCUCUCAUUGAUCUUAUUGAGUUUGCUGAGUUUUCACAUCUGUACUAAAAGGUAUCAAUACAUUAAGUUCUUCGUAAACUCUUUUAAAAUCCAUAAAAUAGGAUGUCAAAGUUCUAUCAUUUUUCUCAGCUCGGUAAAAUACCUUACACACAUCAUAAAUACGGAAAAUAUUCCCUUUGCCAGAAUAUAGAAAUUUCAAAUACUCUAUUAAUUUUUUAACAAAUUCACAGUGAUUAAUAAGACUAAUCAUCUCACUAUGAAUAGAAUUUCAGAUCUGCAGAAACAAUCGAGCAUCAUGACUCAUCCAAUCUCUAUGUGUUCCAUCAGUUGGAGGAUCCUUAGUAAGAUGAUCAUCCAUUUCAAUACUUCGCAAAUAAAUAUAGAUAGUCUUACUCUGAUCCAAAAAAUUAGAUCCAUUUAAUUUGUGUUCUGUGAUUUUAGUCAUCACAGGAAUCAUAUUAGUUAUGGUGGUUUUAACUUUAGCCAUAAGGACAACCAACCCAAAGCAAUAAAAAUAAACAUAGAAUUAGAAGUAAACAGUACUUGGUGAACAGUGCCCGAAUAUGAACAGUACCAAAACAUCUCCACCCAACACCUGAACGGUCAAACAAACCUCAGAUCUGACAAGGGGACGGUGCGGCUACUCCGGCUAUGGUGACCGGAGCAGCGACGGAGCAGGGACGCGCCUUCACGCGCCGGUGCGUGUAGCUGCGAUAGGUUAUUGUGGCGACGCGUGAGGCCAACUCAUCGGCCGAAACUUGAGUUUGUAGCUAAUGUGACUUUAGAUGGUGUGAAAGGUGAAACAAGAGUAAAGAAAAAGAUUGUGAUUACCAGAGAUGUGAUAGAAGCACCAAAGUCUAGGAUCCAUAGAGCAAUGGAUGAAGACUUAGACAAACAAAGAAAUUAUCAGAGUGAGCAAUGUUGAAAGAUGAAGGAUAUUGCUUAGCUGUUUGGAACGAUAAGUAUUCUCUAUAGUUUUCUCCAGCUAAAGUGAUUGAAUUCAGUACCUAAAAUUUAUUAGUAGGUUGUGAAAGCAGGUCUUCUCCAUUAGAUUGGACAAGACGAACUGUUGUUUUGCCAGUACUAUAAAGUUGAUUAGGCCGUGGUGGUCAGCCAUGCAAUGCUCAACAUGCUUGUCGUGUACGACCAUUCUUAUCACAAUAGGAGCAAUGAAGCUUCUUGCCUUUAUCUUUAUGAUUUCUUCCUUGUCCUUGAUUCCCCUGCUGCACAGCCAAAACUGAGGAUUCCAUAUCUGUAGCAUUACUCUUACUAAGGAAAAUACGUAAAAGUCUAGCUGACACAUCUUCUAAAGUUGGAAUAACUGAACCGAUCAAAAUUUGAUCUUUCACAUAACAAAGGUCAGAUCGCAACCCAAUUAAUGCCAAAACCAUAAAGAAUUUGUCUCAUUGUUCUUUUUGUGCAUCAACAUCGUUAGUAAGAGGCAUAAGAGAAUUAAAUUCAUAUUUCGGAGUUUCUACCUGACUCAAGUAACUAGCCAUGUCCUGAUGAUUCUGUUAUAAGUGGAUUAUAUCUGACACAACCUUAUAAAUGCAUUGUAUGUCAUUAGUGUACACCAUUUUGGCCUAACUUUAUAACAAUUUUUGCAAGACUGAAAUAAAGCAAGCAAUUUUGGAUCUAAUGAAUGCCAUAGAAGACUACACAGUUGAGCAUCAAUCUUAACCCAGUUGGUUAUAUCUGUGGCGGUGAUAUCAGUGGCAUUUUUUAUUAAAUGAUCAUCAUACCCUUGUCCUAAAAACCAUAAUUCUACUGAUGCAGCCUAAGAUACAUAAUUAUUAUUUUCUUGCAACUUCACAGUAGCAAUGGAAAAGAAAGAUUUAAGGGACUCAAAACCUGUAUUGAAGGUGUCUUGCUUCUUAGACAUGUUGAGAGAAAUUCUGAAAUAACAAGGGACUAGAAUCUGCCAAAAAAAGAGGAUUAUUGCCCAUGAACAAUAGAUUCCAAGCUACUAUUCACAGGAGACGCGUGAAGAAGAGCUGGGCAGGUGACCGAACCUAGUGGGUUGGAGUCAUUGGUCUCUAACGAAGCUGGAGAAAGGGUCACUGGCAUGAAAAGGUCGAUAGAGAACUAUUGAAGCGCAAGUGUGUGUAGCAAAAGUUGAUUCUGGUGGCAGCGUAUGGAGGCGCGUGGAGCCAAUUCUAGAGGCGGGCUUCACAAGGUCGCCGAUUGGAAGCCAGCAAGACUGUUAGGCUGGGUGGUGAGACCAACUGAUUUUCAAAAAGUCUCCAAACGAAGGUGGCAGAUCUAUCACUCAUAGCUAGGCCAAGUUUCUUGGCUCUGAUACUAUGAAACAGUGAUAAAACGAGAGGGAAGUAAAGACUUUAAGAGAAAGAUGUUUGAUGAUUCCCCUCAAGCCAAAUGGGGUAUAUAUACUAAUAAGGAUUCAUAUUAAAUAAGAAAAUAAAUUAAUUCCCUAAUUAUUGCCUAAUCAUAUUCCAAUCAUAUCACAUAAUCUAAGCACCUAAUUAUAUACACAAUUACUAUAAAUCUAGGCUAUUUACAAAAAGUAUCUCAACAAAAAGUAAUGUUCCUUUGUGCAUGUAUCAACUCCUCCUUCUCUAAAAAAAAUUCAUCUUUGAAUCAACACGCAUAAUAGUGAGAAAAUGAUCGAUGUACACAUACUCAUCUUUGGCGUUGUAUUUUUUAGCAACAAUCUCAAAAGCAACUUGAUUGUCAUGGCUUUGUUCUAUUGAAGGAGCUUCUUUUUCAACCACUUAAAUUUCUUCAACAAAACAAUCCUUUGAAUCAGAGUUAGAAUCAAUAUCAAAGUUUUGCUCAAGUUUAACAUCUUCAAAAUCAUCUCCAUAUUGGUUGUACUUUUCAACAAUUAUAGUAGCAACUUAGACUUGACCUACUAAAGUGCUUUCUAUUUCAUCUUUCUUGGCUUUCUUCCAUAUGACAAUAUUUGGAUUCCGAUGCACCUUCUUUGCUAUUUUCAAAUUGAUCUACAUUAUUAUUGGUGGUUCUUUUAUUCUCUUUAUGGAUGGCUCUUUCCAAGAUAUUCAUAAAAUCGUUAAAAUUUCACAAGUAUUUUUUAAAAGAUUCAUUGAGGUUCCUACAAUCAUGUCUUCUUUCUUUGUUUUUCAUCCUGAAACAAAUUCAAACAAAUAAGCAAAAGAAAACAAAAGCUGAUCCUCACAUGCUCUGUCACGUAUUUCUCUCGAAAGGUGUUUUCACUCAUUUUCAUUUAUAUAUUGGCUUUUACUCUCUUAUGAACUCAACACUCAAGCCUUUUUCCUGUCAAUUGUUUAACUUAUGAGCGUUGCACUUUGGAAGCAACCUACAAAAACAAAACUAAUAAAAUUGCAGCAGUAGAUAUUAAGUAAUGAUAUCCUAAAUAAUAAAAAAAUAUAUAUAACAACAAUAACUUUAGACUUAUAAGAAUUUGAACAACUAAAACUAGCAAUUUUGGCCAAGACUUAUGUCAAGCAGAUUGCAAAGUUAUACUUUUUCUUGCCUUCAAUUUCAAUCAUAAAUUUCAAGAACAAUUUCCUUCUUCCUUUUUUAUGAAUUUUUCAGAUUUGAAUCUUUCUCCUUUUUUUUCUUUUUUUUUUUUACUAAAACUUGUGAUAACACGAAUUGAGAUGAAAACGUAACAAGACGAAACAAUAAACAAGCUGCCGAAAUAAGAAACGAAUUAAUGAUAACUAUAAUUAUGAAAUUGAAAUUAAACAAGAUAAUAAUAAAGAUAAAUAAAUUAAAAUUUAUCUACGACUUAUGCUCUUAUACCAGUUGAUGCGGAAUCCCAAAUUAACAAUGCAAUCUAAAAUCCCAACAUACAAUAAUAUCAAGUCACACAUUAAGAUUAAUUCUUAAGCGUUCUAUUAUACCCUUGAAUAAUGAAUAAAUAAGAACAUAGAUAAUCGAACAAUAAAACAAGAAUAGAAUUACUUCAAAAUUACUAACCUCAAUAAGAUAUCAAUUCUUAAUGCAAAACAAUGUUAAACAAAAUUCUCUAGAAUUUUAUUAACCAAGGAGAAUAAUAUUGAUUACGAAAUAAGUUUUAAAUUCGUGGCUGCCACUUAGAGGUGUUUUUAUAGCAUUUUAAAAUCCUAAUUCUAGUGAAAAAAGAUUAAUUCCAAUGUAGAAAGAAUUCUUGGUCAAACAGUCAAACCUUUCUCAACAAGGAUUACAAUAAAGAUUUUUUUCCUAGUUGGACUAGGAGAACUUUUUCUCGUUAUGGACUGCACAAAUUUAGCCAUUUAAAUUGAGCCUAAUUAAUUAAAAAUAAGUCCAGUAAAAUACUAAAAUUUUAAAAUAACAAAAUGCGUCUAAGUGCAUUUGGGCUUAAUAUUAGUGUAUUUGCCCUAAACCAUUAUCUUGGACCUUUUUAUACGUCAUUUUGUUUAUUAAUAAAAAAGUUUUAUUAUCAUUAUUAUUUAUUUGCAUGUUAUAUAAUAAUGAUUAACAUCCCUGAUUACUUAUUACUAUGAUGAUAAUAAUAAAAUAUGACUAGUAUGAUUAUUGAUUGAUAAUCAUGAGAUGAUUAUGUGUAUGUUGAUAUAAAUUAAUAAUCAUAUAUACUUGUUAGAGAAUAAAAUAUUAGGUGGACUAACAUUGUGAUCACUAUAUGAGUUUUUGUCAUAAGUGAAUAUCAAGAUAGUUAUGUUUUAAUCCUUUGACUUGAGAUUGUCAUAGUUUCCAACAUAAAGACUGUUAUGUUUUGACAUAACCAAACUUUAUUUUUAAUCGGAUAAUCAUAAAGGCUAUGAUUGAGCAUAAUAGAAAUUAUGUAGAGGAUAUCAAACAAUCAAGAUAGAAUUUGUCCCUCUUUUUGAGGAUAUCAACAAGUGAGACUAAGAAAUGCGUUGACGUGCUCAAAUGAAAUCAUUUGGUUUUAUCAGUCUACUAAGAGAUCGAGAAAUCAUAAGUUUGAAUAUUAUAAGUUUGAACAUUAUAAGUUUGAUAUUGACCAUGCCUUAUAUUCAAACUAGAUAUCGUGUGACAAAGGGAUUAAUACAUAUUCUGUUUAUUAGGCUUUAUCGGACUAUCGAUCAUCAUAUUAAUUGGGUAGUCAUAAUGUCUUGCUAGAGGUCGCUUAUGAUUUAUGAGUUUUGUUGGACUGGACCUAUUGUCAAUUAAUGUGAGUCUAUUGGAUUACACACAAAAGAAUGUCAUUGAUAUACUAUGUCGUAUUAAUGGGUUAAGCGCCCGUUAGUAUAAUUAAUAAUAAUAAAGAUGUUAUUAUUAUUAAUAAUAAUUGUUUGUUAUUAUUAUAAGAUAAUAAUAUUUAAAAGAUCUACAGCCUAUUUGUAACUGCUAUAGAUAAACGAUCCUUUCGUUUUCUUUUGAAAAGGACUUAUCGCAUAGAUAUAUUAGUAUCUGCGGUACUGUGACGGUAGUUAUGAACACAACUCUUUUAUAAAAAGAAGUGCGGGAAAACGAAAAGACUGAGAGAAAGCAAGUGAACAUAAAACAUCUUCUUUGAAUUGCAUGAGGUAGUUUUUUUUCGUGAUUGUUUUUCUGGAUUGCAGAUUGGGAGCACAUAGCUAAUCCAUCUGUUGAGAGAGUUAGCACUCCAGACGGAAAUGUUCGAGUGGAUACCAUUGAGAGUAUUUGUUUCAAAAGUAGCAUCAUCAGUCCAUAACAGUUUCUUUUCGUCAAGUCUAAAAAGUUUGUCUCUUUAUCCUUCCUUUCGAAUUAAAUGAAGUACUCGGAUUCUGAAAGGGGAAACAAAAAUCUUUUACUUUUCCACUGCGUAAUUUUGGGUUGCAGUGAUCUCUGAACUUCCUUACACUUAAAUGGGUCUAAGUGCAUUUUGGUUUAAAUGGGUUAUAUAGCCAAAACAGGUGUUGCGCACUCCGAAUGAGUUGGAAUUCAUGUAUUGCAGCUUUUUGCUUUCUCUGUACUCUUUUAGUUGAUUUUCAAGUACUUUGGUUGGUGCCAUGCAUUCCAAACUUGAUCAUUCUAUUCCUUGCUUGUUUGCGAAGUAUCGUGAACAAUAUUUCGUGAAUGUUCUCAUUCUUUCCAAACAUAGCUUUUAUCUCGAAUAUAUUUUCUUUUACCUAUGAUAAUUUGAUAUUGGAUUAUUCAGAAGUUGGUUUCGAGUUUCGCAACUAACAUGUUUGAAGAUUUUUAGAGCUCUCGUGUACCUCAGUUUGUUGAAAAGCAAUCAUCAUGACUUCAUAAUUUUCAUUUCUAUUCACAGUUAUUGAGUAUGGGUGGGGUAGAGCCACCUCAAGGGUUUAUCUAAGCCAUGUUCUUAGCAAUGUUGUAUGUGAGAGUUUCAUGUGGCAUUAGUGUAUAACACGAGACAAUGCAUGUAAAGCAGUGUUAUGGAUUGUUCCUCUUGAUUGCAAUACUUUUUGUUGGAGUUGUACUCUGAACAUCUUUCCUUGCAUAUUUUCUUGCUUUCCAAAGAUAGUAGUCAUCAUGACUGACUGGAUCUUUCUUAAAACUCCUUGAUUUCCCAUUUGAAACCUUUUGAUGGGUAUUCUUGGAAAGUGUUACAGCUUCCUUACACAUUUUGUUGUUGAAGAACUUUACUCUUCAUGCUCGUAUCAGUGAUUUUUGAAAAUAUAGAUGUUCAAAGAAUCAUAUUUAUUGAGUUUCAAAUAAUUUCAUAUAUUUCUUAAUUCGUCUAUAAAAAUAUCUUAAACAGGUUAUUCAUAUUAAUUGGGGUUGCGCAAGUUAACCUGUUUGUACCUAAAAUUUUCAUGAGUCCCAUUUUGUGACGUGAAUCUGUUUAUGCCUAACUUGCUAAACUACGUGAUGAAUCGUAUAAACUAAUCACGUCAAAGAUUUCCAACCCUAAACCUUGACAUAGCUUAACGUUAUAAAAUCAUGUGAAACUUGGAGGUUAAUGAUACUUGGGAAUGCAACAAAAUACAAGACUUGCUGUCUGUGCUCUCCCUCUUGGUGGUGUUUGUUUUAUACAUCUCUCUCUCUCUGGUUCCUCAUGUAUUACUUGUAUUCAGUUUUUUAGUGUACAAAUUUUUCCAAAAAUGGUUUGAUACUAUUUAUACAUUUUCUAUAUAGCUGUCUCUCUCUCUAUUUUUCGUUUCAUCUUGUUUGAGAAUGAACACUUCAGUUCCUCAUGCAUUAAUUACUUCUAUUCAGUUUCCGUUUACAAAUUCUUUCUCCAAAAAUAGUUUGAUACUAUUUAUACAUUUUAUGUAUUUCUCUUUUAUAUUGUUACUGGAUGGCUGCAGAUGCAUUGCGGUGAUUGCUUCUGAUAAUGAGCUUUGCAUUAUCGACAAUCCUCCAACAGAUGCAAUGCGAGUUAUCCUUUGAGUAAAUACUAUGUAUUGUAGAAAUUAUUACCAAUUUAUAAGGGAGAAGCACAGAGUUAUAAUUUAUAAGAAAGUGAACGGCUUGCUUUUCUUUUUUCUUUUUUUUUUUUUUUUUAAUAAUGAUUGAUAUUAACAAUUUUGGCAUGUUAUUGAGAUGAUUGCACUAAUCUUCAAGUUUCUUUUAUAAUUUAAAAUAUUCAAGGUUGGUAUGUUUUGAUAAGUCCCAUACCUUAACUUAGGGUGUUUACCAUUAAAAGAUGGAGCAAUAAAAAGCCCAGGUGUGUACUAUUUUAAGAACCUGACUCAUUUCUUAUUGUAAUUAGUUUAUUUUCCCUUAAUGCAAGAUUAGUAAAAUCUCUAUUCACUAAUGUUUCUGAUAUUUCUUUUGAUAUGUGACUCAAAAUGCUUAUGACACAAGAAAAUAAAUUUCUAAUUCAGUUUAUUACUAUACUUAAUUUCAAUAUCACUAUAAGCAACAAAUAAUGAUUUAAUAAAAGUAUUAUUAAGUUUUAAUUUACAUACCAUUAGAAUGAGUUCCAUAGCUGAUAAUAUAAUAAGUAUUAAGGUAAUUUACGAUUACUAAAACUCACAAUUUAGUUUCUCUUUUUUUUUUUAAGAGUAAAUAAUUUAAUUCUUAGAUUUUUAUUUUAUUAAUAAAAUGAUUCUAUUGUUAAAUUAUUCAACAGUAAGUUGAUUAAAUCAAUUCAAAUUAAAAAGCUAAAUUGUUACAUAUAUUAAAAGUUUUUUGAUAUAAAUUGUUAUAAAUUAUUAAACAGUGAAUUUUGAAGAAUUAAAUUGUUACAAUCUAAUAGUGAAUUCUAGUAGGAGUAUUUUUUUAACAGAAUGAAAUUUUGGAGUUUAAAUUGAUUAUCGUUAAAAUGAUAAAGAUUGAGUUAUGUAUUUUCUUAAAUUUUUUUGUUAUAUCAUAAAUUAUCAUAAUAAUAAUAAUAAUUAUUAUUAUUUUUAUUAUUUUUUGAUACAAAUACGGAAAUCACACGAUUUUUCAAUAAAUUGUAAAUUUAAAUAUUUUUUAUUUUUUUAUUUAACUAUCAACAAUAAUUUCACAUUUAAUAAAUUAAGUCUCCUUUUAUUAAUAAAAAAUAAUUAUAUUUAGAAAAUAUUUUUUAUAAAAAUAUUUUUUAAUAAGAUAAUUUAUUUUAUAUUAUUUAAUUUAAAUAUUAAAAUAAAAUAUAUUAAUAAAUUUAUAUAUAAAAACUUAAUAAGAUUUUUAAAUUUUAAAAAAUAACUUUCUCCAUUAAGAAAAAUCAAUUUCUUUAAAAUAAUUUAAUUUAAAAAAAUAUUUUUCAUUAAAUUUUUAAGUAUCCAAAUAUUAAAAAAUAUUUGCUAUAAAAUAAAAAACCAUAAAUCAUAAUUUUUUUUUAUACUUCAACAUGUAUUUUUUAUUAUUAUCAAAACUAUUAAUACAUGUAUCAUUAUUUUUUUUGGUUAAAUGCAUGUAUUAUAGUUGCCAUAAAAUAAAAUCACAUUCAUAUUGUGUAAAUUUUAUUAAAUAUAUAAGGUUAAUGGCAUAAAAAAAAUAUAUAAUGCCAUGAAUGUUUAAGAUAUAAAAGGUAAAAAUAGUCCACUAGUAUAAAAGUCUUAAUUUAUUGAUGGUCUCUUCUUGAUUUUUUUUAUCAUUAUGUAGAAAAUAAAAUAUCAUUAUAAAUAUAUUAUAUAAAUAUUAAUAGAAUAUUAAAAAUACCGGUAUCAAUAUUAAAUUAAUUUUUAAAAAAUUUAUUAAUAAAAUUUAAGACAAAAAAUCAAUAAAAAAAUAAAACUCUUAUCUAAAAUAUAUAUAAAAUACUCUCUAUAGAAAUAAAAUUUUUUCCUCUGCCCAUUUAUCGACAUCUUAAUUUAUAAGAUUAGUAUUUUAUUUUGAUGAGAUUUUAUAAAAUGUUGAUUAUCACAUGCUUAUUAGCAUAUUUUUUAUUUGUUCCAAUCGACCAUUUCAGUGUUUGAAUUCAAUUUUUUUAACAUGUACAAAAAAAUCUUUAAUUCUCAAUCUUUAUUUAAUUUUAAUCUAAUUUUUUUUAAAUUUAACUUUCAAUUAUAUUAAUACCAUUAUAUUUUGUAUGUAUGUGGAUCACUUUUAUUUGCCCUUAUUAAAUAUAAAAAAUAAUUAAAUAACUCAAUAUUUAUCAUAUUAAUAUUUUCUAAUAAUUAAUAAUUUAAGAUUCGUUGAUCAGUCUUUUUUAUUUCUUUUUUUUUUGAAAUGGCAAUUUUUUUAUUUUUAUUUCUUUUCUUUUCUUUUCUAUUUCUAUUUCUUUUAUCACAGUGUCUCGUUUUUUCAAUUUAAGAUUUUAUGGUUAUAUGAGCAUAAAUAAUUUUAUUAUAUAAAAUUAAUAAUAUUUAAUUAAAUUUAAAUUUCUUAUAUUUAUUAUUUAAAAAUUAAUAUCAAAACGAUAAACUUUUAUAAUUUUAUAUGUAUUUUUUUAUUUUUAUCUAAAUUUGUAAAUAAAAGCCACUCAUUUCUAAAAGUUUUCUUAAGUUAAAAUUAGUAUAGAAUUAAUUUUUCCUAAUAGCAUGUAUUCUUUAUAUAUAAUAUAGAUUAAGAUAGUAUGGAGAGAAUAGAAACAAUGAAAGAAAUGAUAAAAAAAAAAAAAGCUUAAUUAAAAAAAAAAGAUUAUAAUAGAUGAUCAAGUGAAUCAAAAAGAUUCUAUCAAAAUAAAAUGACAUAUUCACUUUAUAGUUUUAGUGGCAAAAUUUUUCUUUAAUAUACUCUCUCUUUCAUUUAUUAAAUUCAUUUCAAUUACAUAUUUUGUUUUUCAGUAACUAAAAAUAAAUUAUAUUAUUUUUAAAAUAUAAUAAAUAGUUCAAACUAAAACUGAAAGCGAAAAUGACUAAAUAUAAAAGUUCAGUGAUAUGCACCCCACACCUAAUUCAUGUAUUGUCCUCAAUGUAUAGGAAAAAUUAAAAUUCAAAGGAAACUGAGUACCCUGGUGUGGUGUUGCAUGGUGCGAACAACUAGGCAGACUGAGAGAAAUGGUGUAGUGGAAUUUCUUCUACCACUUGCACUGCGAAUCCUUCAUAGUAUGGUUUCAGAUGAUAUCCAUUCACCUUGAAGAUCUUUCAUGUCUCUAUGCUUCGGAUGUCUACUGGCCCAUGGGGAUAAGCAUGUUUCACCAUGAAUGGUCCAAUCCACCUAGACCGUAGUUUUUUUGAAAAUAAUUUCAGGUGAGAAUCAAAGAGUAAGACUUUAUCACCAACCUCAAAUUGUUUUCUUGAAAUCUGACUGUCAUGGGAGGCUUUGGUUUUGACUUUGUAGUUCCAAAAAGUCUCAUAUGCAUCUCGUCUUAUCUCUUCUAGCUCUUGUAGUUGCAAUUUGCGAUGGUGGCCAGCUUCUGUGAGAUCUAUGUUGUAAUUCUUGACUGCCCAGUAAGCCUUAUAUUCAAGCUUAACUGGAAGAUGACAGGCUUUCCCAUAGACCAAUCUGUAAGGCAACAUACCUAUGGGGGUCUUGUAGGUUGUCCUGUAUGCCCAUAAGGCAUCUUUCAAUCGUGUGCUCCAGUCUUUUCUGCUGGGGGACACUGUCUUUUCCAGAAUGGCUUUGAUUUCUUUGUUAGACACUUCAGCUUGCUCAUUUGUCUGAGGGUGGUAGACUGUGGAUGUUCUAUGUAUUACAUUGUGCUUUCUGAUAAGGUUUUCCACUACCUUGUUGCAAAAGUGAGUCCCUCUAUCACUGAUGAUUGCCUUGGGUACUCCAUGCCUGGCAAAGAUGUUGGUCUUCACAAAGUCCACCAUCACUUUUGCAUCAUCAGUUUUCGUUGCUUUAGCUUCUACCCAUUUGGACACAUAAUCCACCGCAAGGAUGAUGUAAGUGUAUCCAAAGGAUGGUGGGAAUGGCCUCAUGAAGUCUAUGCCCCAUAUAUCAAAUACCUCAUAGAUCAUGAUGGGAUUCUGUGGCAUUUGAUUUCUGUUGCUAAGAUUUUCAGUCUGUUGGCAUCUCGCACAUGAUCUGCAAAACAAAAAAGCAUCUCGAAAAAUAGUGGGCCAAAAUAGGCCACUUUUAAGUAUUUUAUUAGCUGUCUUUCUUGGUCCAAAAUGACCACCACAACUGUAUGAAUGACGAAAUGUGAGCACUGAGGCUAUCUCUUGAUCUGGAAUGCAUCUCCUUAUCAUUUGAUCGGCAUAGUGUUUCCACAAGUAUGGUUCAUCCCAAACAUAGUAUUUUGCACUACUCUUUAUUUUGUCUUUUGUGUGCUUGGGCAUAUCAGAAGGUAAGUUACCUGUGGCUAGGUAGUUCACAAUGUCAGCAUACCAUGGCUCAUCAGUUUGUGCAUGGAAGAUUUGCUCAAAGAAGCCAUUCUCACUUUCUUCAGAUUCUAGAAACUGCUGCAUGGGAGAUUCUUUCUGCGCAUGGACUGUCCGCGGAUUGAGCUGAGGAGGUGUGCAUGGUUCAUUAGCUUCCUGCGAUUGGUUUUACGAUCCCAGCUGAGGUGGCACGCUUGGUGCCUCAGCUUCGUGUGAUUAGCUCUACUCUUCCUGCGAUUGGUCCUACGUCUGGCUCUACGAUCCAUCCUGAACAGGUACGAUCAGCUUAUGUUCUUCCUGCGGUUGUCUGCAACUCAACUGCUGGAUGCUGCAGACUGUUUCUUUCAAUUCUGGCUCUUUCUAGCUCUCUUCCCUGCAAAGGUCAUUGUUUAGUAUAUCAUCUCGAUUCAUAUCAAAAACUUCCUAGCUCAAACAAUCAAUAAUAUCUAAACCAUAAACAGGAGACAAAUCAUGAGGAUAUUUCAUGGCAUCAUAAACAUUGAAUUUAAUCACUUCCCCUUCAAAUUCAAUGGUCAAUGUGCCAUCUUGCACAUCUAUCUUAGUCUUGGUUGUGCUUAAGAAAGGACGUCCAAGUAGGAUGUCUGAAGUAGUGUUACCAUUGUCUUCCUUUGUAUUAAUCACAUAAAAGUCUACUGGAAAGACAAGUUCAUCUACUUGUACUAGAAUAUAUUCUAGAACUCCUUUUGGAUACACCACAGAUCUGUCAGCCAACUGAAUCACUACUCUGGUGUCUUUCAGUGCACCUGCAUUCAAAGAAUUAUAAAUAGCAAGAGGCAUAACAUUAAUGGAUGCACCUAGAUCACACAUAGCUUUCUUUAUCCCAACAUUGCCAAUUUUGCAAGAAAUAGCAAACAUUCCUUUAUCUUUGAAUUUGGUUGGAAGUUCUCUUUUUAUCAUAGCAGUAGCAACCUCACCUACACUUACUUUUUCUCUCUCAGCAAGCUUCCGUCUGUUGGUACAUAGUUUUUUCAGAAAUUUUGCAUACCUGGAAAUCUGUUUUACAGCAUCUAGCAGAGGUAUGUUGAUUUCCACUUUCCUGAAGGUCUCAAGGAUCUCUUUUUCUUCUUUUUCUUUUUGUGACUUUUCAAAUAUUUUUGGGAAAGGAGGUGAAAUUUUGAAACUUACCUGUUGAUCUGCAUUCUGUGUGUGCGCAGGUGUGGUGCGUCCAAUUGGGUUGGACGGAAAUUGUUCCGGCUGCUUCUCUGCAACGGCCUGUCUUUGCUCUUGUGAAUUUCUUUCAUCAGUUUUGGCAUCUUGGAGCUUUUUCUCACUUCUCAACAUGAUAGCAUUUACAUUCUGUCUAGGAUUAUCUUCAGUUUGAGAAGGUAACUUACCUCGGGAUUCAAGCUUGUUUAUGGAAGUGGCCAUUUGUCCCAUAUGCUGUUGGAGACUUUGCAAAGUCUUCACUACCUCAUCAAGACUAGUAUUAGAAAUUUGAGGUGCUGGUUGGGCUUGAUUUCUUUGAUAGUUCUGGUAAUUGUUAGCCCUUGCAUAGCUGAAAUUUGGGUGGUCCCUCCAACCUGGAUUAUAGGUGUUAGAAUAUGGAUCAUGUCUAGGCUGGCUGUUGAAUCCUCCAAGUGCGUUCACUUGCUGGCUAUCCUUUUGAAGUGUAGGACAUUAAUCAGUUGGGUGUCCUACAUAUGCACAAAUUCCACAUGGCCGAGGUGGUUGAACUUGGCCUAUGACAAGACUUUUCACUGCGGAGGUUAGUUUAGAAAUUUGAGAAGCGAGAACAGAUGUACUUACCUCAUUGGCGCCUCUUUGCAGUUGCUUUUCUUCUCCAUAUUGCCUAGAUGAGGCUGCAAGUAUUGAGAUCAACUCUCUCAUCUCCCUAGGUGUUUUAUCUACAAUGGAACCUCCACAUGCUACAUCAAUGAAUCUCCUUUCGGAUGGUAGCAAACCUCCAUAGAAGAAUUCUAUGGGUGACUUGUCUGAAAUAUUAUGUUGAGGGCAACUUGUACACAGUCUCUUAAACCUUUUCCAAUAGUCAUAUAAAUCCUCAGAUUGUUUUUGCCUAAUACUACUGAUCUCUCUUCUUAUUCCAAUGGCUUUAGAAGUUGGGAAGUAUUUGUUCAGAAAGGCUAUUACCACAUCAUCCCAUGAAGUGAUAGAUCUAGGUAGUAAGUAAAAUAACCAAUCCUUAGCAUAAUCAUCAAGUGAAAAAGGAAAAGCUCUCAAUUUAACAUGUUCUUCAGUUAUGCCUUGCAGCCUCAUGGAUGAACAGACAAUGUUAAAUUCUUUUAAAUGCUUGUGUGGAUUUUCAUUCUCUAAACCUCUAAACUUAGGGAGUAGAUGAAUUAAACCUGUUUUGAGUUCAAAAGGAACUGUCAGAGGUGGAUAAGUGAUGCAAAGAGGUGCUUGAUCACCUAUGGGGGCUGCCAACUCUCUCAUUGCUCUUUCUCUUGGCAUUGGUGGCCUGAUUGCUAGAUUUCCUUGUAUUAAUUCAUCAUGGACAGCAUGUUCAGCAUGAGCAGCAGGUUGUAUAUCACCGUGCUCUGAUACCAACUGAUGCGGAACCCAGGAUCAACAUGUGAUCAAAAACCCCGUCACACAACUUGACAAAGAACAAGACAAAUAUAUCUUCCAGAAGGUUGCUCUACUACACCCCUAACCAACCAAUGUGAUUAGAAACAUAGAUAAUCAAGCGAAGGUUGCUCUACCACACCCCUAACCAACCAAUGUGAUUAGAAACAUAGAUAAUCAAGUGGAGGUUGCUCUACCACACCUCUAACCAUCCAAUGUGAUUAGAAACAUAGAUAAUCAAGCAAUUACAACUUCGAAAAUGCCACAAGAAAUUCUUGAUAAGUUAACUAAGUAUGAAGGAGAUCCAUAUCAGAAUGUCAUAAGGUUAAACCUUAAUAAGUUGCUAAAUAAUGGAGAAGAACCAAAUAUUGUUCAUAAAAUCAUCUUUAUUCAUUGGCUUCCUCGUGGCUGCCACCUUAAGGGUGUUUUUAUAGCCUUUAAACCCUAAUUCUACUGUAGAAAGGUGCAAUUACAAUAUAGGAAGGGUAUCUAGUUAAAUAGUCAAACCUAUAUUACAUUAAAGAUCAUUUUUCUAAAUUAUCUUGGAGAAAUCUCCUUCCUAAAUGGGAUACACGAAUUUGACUUCUAAUAUAGGCCAAAUUAAUUUAAAACAAAUCCCACAAAAUACUAAAAUACCAAAAUAAUAAAACUAGUCUAAAUGCAAUUUGGCCAUACAUGUAUUAUGCGAUCUGAAAUUGUGUUAUGCAUCCACAUGUGUUGAAGAGAGUGUGACUUGUUUCCUUAUUCUCCCAUGCUUCCCAAAUAUAGUUCUCAUCUCGUAAGCCUUGAAUUAAGCGAUGGUAACUUGAUUUGUCAUGAUUUGGAGUUUUCCAUUUUAAAUCUUUGAAGCAUCGUAUUAUUUCCUUACUCAUAUCAUAAGGGUGGAAGGAAAAAUCAGGAGCUUUGUUCACUCAAACAAUAUGGCAAUGUAUAACUCAAGCUCUUUAUGUACAAAGGGGGUACAUAGGUACAUUGUUGGGAAAGGACUCUCACAGCUCACCACUCUCCUCUAAUGGAGUGGCUACUUUCCACUCAAGCUGCUAUUGCCUUCUGCUUGGCUGGCCAGCCACUGAAGUUCCCCACUUGGUUGGCCAGCAGCAUUCUGCUCCCCAGCAUGCAGAAUUGCUACUAUUAACUCCUCUCUUCUAGGAGACUCUCAAAACAGGGAAGGGAGAUUCAAAACUGGGAGGGGGCUCCUUCUGUCUGUAGAACAAGGCCUAUUUAUAGGCAGCUCCACCUCCUCAACAUAUGGUGGGAAAGGCUUCUCCAAUUUGUUGCCAGAAUUCUCCUUCCAGAAGAUUCAGAGACUAAAUCAUAAUUUCACACCCCUAGAGAAUUUGGAUCCUAUUGGCCAACUAGUUCAUGGGACCAUGUGCCUGGAGAGAACCUGCUGUCCAGCAGAUCUUUGGAAGCUUUUGGCCCAUUCUGGCACUACUGAAAGCAAUAAAAUAAGUAGAAUAUGAAAAUAAAAGGUAAAUCAAUAUGAGAAAUGUUUAGUUGAAGAGUUGGAUCCAUUUCAGUUGUUUGGAUUGAUCAUUGAAACAUAUGUUCUUUAGAUUGAUUUAAUAGAUUACUUAUGGAGAUGGAAAAUGCUUCUCACCAUCAUGUCUCUCUUUAUGAUUAAACCAAUUAGGGAACGUCCUCUAAUUAAUUACUAAUUAACAAGUUGCCAAGGAACAUCCUUGGGCCUUAGGCAUCAAACAAUUGUUAAUUGCAUGAAGAGAUAGAGAGAUCCAAUCCUAGCUACUCAAACGCAUGAGAUGUUGCUAGAUCAUACAAUUUCUUAGUUGUUACACCAAGUGUUCUUAUGUUUGAACAAUUCAAGCAAUUACGGACUUCAAAUUAUCCAAACUAACAAUCUACUACCUUGCAAUCAAGAAUCAAGUGGCCAAUUUUAUCAAAACAACAAAGCAAUAAUAGAUUUAAGCACCAAAUUGUAUGAAUAUUGAACAAAUCAAAGACAAACAGUUUAUGUUCAAAUCUCACAAUCCAUUAAACAACUUUAGUUUCAACCAAUCUUCAACUAGAAUAAAAGGUUUCAGCCUCUCAUGGCUGAAACAAAAACCAAAAAAUAAAGAAAGGAAGAAGAAGAGAUGGUGCCACUUGCAAUCCCGUAGGUGUGUCCUAGGGGGCAUUGAAAAAGUAUGGGGAGGCUCCUUAUGUGUCUUUUUAUGGUUGAAAGUGUUGCCCUAUGUCCUUACUUGCUGCCCAAGGGGCUGCUUGCUGCCCAAGUUGUGUCUGAAAAGGAAAGAAUCGCGUUGCAAGCUCUUCAGAGGGAAGGAGGCGUGCGACAUGCACUGCAUAAAGGAAAGUGGCGCGCGGCAAUGAAUGUGCAGAAAUGGAAAGAUAUAUGUCCAGUCUUUCCUUUUUAGGUGGAGGCUUCGUUUGAAUUUUGAAUGCUGAAUGCAAAAGAGGCAAGUGCAUCUUCUUGAAAUCUUGUUGCCUAAAUAGGAAGAUAUGAUUGCUGCAGUGUGGCACAUCUUUGAACAAGGAAAGAAAGAUCUGCAAUUUGAAUUUCAAAUAAUCUUCUGACUGAGCUUUCCUUAUUUGCUUUUGCUUCUGCACUUUCCUUAUUUAAAAACUUUCCUUAUUUGAAAACAUUCCUUUUUUGGCACUUUCCAUAUUUGACACUUUUUGGCAGUUUUAAGAGCAUUUUCUCCAUAUUGUCUCUUUACACCUAAUAUCUGCAAAACAUGAUUAAAACCACAAAAUCAGGCAGAAAAGAUGUAAAUAAACAUCCAUAAACAUCAUGAUAAAGUGGACUAAAAUAGACUCUAUGAAAUACCCCGACACCUAGCCUUUUGCUUGUCCUCAAGCAAAUAAACAUUGUCAAACAAGCUUUCUUUGCUACUUGAUCCUUAUUUCUACUUAAGCUCUUACUCAAGACACCUAUUUUGAAUCAUUGCAGUGAAGAAUAUAUGCAUGAAGAUUACUCACCUUCUUUCCUUGUUUC
rnacentral:lncRNA from 1 species